UUAGCCACUAAAAAACAAUCCAAAUUCCAAAAAACACCCUCCUCCACCGCCAUUCCCAAAACUUACCCUAUCAUUGGUUCUGUCUUUUCCAUUUACGCCAACUUCCACCGCCGUGUCCACUGGAUCUCCGACAUCCUCCAAACCAUCCCUUCUUCCACCUUCAUCCUCCACCGCUCCUUCGGUUCCCGCCAAGUUUUCACGGCAAACCCCGCCGUAGUGCAACAUAUUCUCAAAACCAACUUCCCUUGCUACCGCAAAGGUCUCACGCUUAAACGUUCCGUCGGUGAUUUUCUCGGGGACGGCAUCUUCAGUGCCGACGGUGAAACUUGGAAGUUUCAACGACAAAUUUCCAGCCAUGAAUUCAACACUAAGUCUCUACGUAAAUUUGUCGAAACUGUCGUCGAGGUUGAACUCAAUGAUCGUCUGCUUCCUAUUCUCUCCGAAGCUUCCAAAAACCAAACGGUUCUGCUUGAUUUUCAAGAUAUCCUCCAACGUUUUACGUUCGAUAGUAUCUGCAGAAUCGCGUUUGGAUUCGAUCCGGAGUACUUACAUUCUUCUCUUCCCAAAACCAUGUUUGUAAAAGCCUUUGACGAUAGCUCACUAAUUAGCAGUGUGAGAUUUAACGCUGCGAUUCCAUUGAUAUGGAAAGUGAAGAAAAUAUUAAACAUAGGGAUCGAGCGACGAUUGAAAGAAGCCGUCGCUGAAGUAAGAGGACUUGCUACAAGAAUCGUUAGGGAAAAGAAAAAAGAGCUUAAAGAAAAAGCAACUUUGGAAUCAGUUGAUCUUUUAUCGCGGUUUUUAAGUUCGGGUCAUUCGGAUGAAUCAUUUGUAGUUGAUAUUGUAAUAAGCUUUAUUCUUGCUGGGAAAGAUACAACUUCAGCUGCACUCACGUGGUUCUUUUGGCUACUCUCUAAGCAUAGUCAUGUGGAGAAUGAAAUUCUCAAAGAGAUUACCGGAAAAUCAGAAAUAGUUAGUUACGAUGAGGUGAAGGAUAUGGUUUAUACUCAUGCGUCGUUAUGCGAGAGUAUGAGACUUUAUCCUCCAGUUCCAGUGGAUACUAAAGAAGCAGCGUACAAUGAUGUUUUGCCAGAUGGAACUUUUGUGAAGAAAGGGUGGAGAGUGGCGUAUCAUAUAUAUGCUAUGGGAAGGUCGGAGAAAAUAUGGGGACUUGAUUGGGCUGAGUUUCGACCGGAGAGGUGGUUGAGUCAAGAUGAGGAUGGGAAGUGGAGUUUUAUUGGGAUGGAUCCUUAUAGUUAUGCGGUUUUUCAAGCUGGGCCGAGGGUGUGUUUAGGAAAGGAAAUGGCGUUCUUGCAGAUGAAGAGGGUGGUUGCAGGGAUCAUGAGGCAGUUUAGGGUGGUUCCUGCAAUGGAUAAAGGGGUUGAGCCGGAGUACAUUGCACACCUUACCUCAUUGAUGAAAGGUGGCUUCUCGGUAAGAAUUGAGAAGCGAAGCCACAAAGAUCAAUAAAAAUUAAUAAGGUCAUGUUAACUAGUAUUGCUGAUAUAUUAGUUAAGAAAGUUAAAAGUGAAAAAAUUUCAUUAAAAACCACAUAUUCUUAAUUUUAAAAAGUUAAAUAUACAACUUUUCCACAUUUUACAUUACAAUGUUUCUAUAUUAGUUUUCUUAGCAUUUCUCAUAAAAGUAAAUGUUGCAUAAAUAUGUUCCAAAGGUUCCAACGUCAAAACAUACUCAUUAUCUUGUAUAGAAUAUGUAAUUGGUAUCACACCAAAUUUGCCAAAAUCAUAAUAUUCAUCGUGAUGUUCAUGUAAUUUCGACAAAGCUACUUCAUUGGUCUGUCCCAAAUCAUUGUGAAUCAUAGCUUAAAUUCUGAGUAUGAUUUGUACCUUUGGAUAGCUAGUUAGAAGUUAGAACUUCCAUUUUGGAAAAUAAUAUUUUAAGCAAUUUUUAAGAAUAAACUAGAGUUUAGCUAAAAAUAAUUGGACAUUAUUUUAUUUAUUAUUUAUAUCUACAAACAAUACAAAUUAAAAAAACAUCACAUCCUUCACGUGGGAACAAAGACAACGUAUACACGAUGUAUUAGUAAACUAUAUAUGCUGUAUUCUCCAAUAUCCCAGUCCCACCAUCACUAUCUACAAAUAUAUAUAUAUAUAUAUAUAUAUGGUGUACUAUUCUCCAUCGGGAAUGUGUUUUGAUGAGUAAGCACAAUAGAAAUUCAAAAUCAAUACUCUAGCCCUAAUCUGCGUCGGGUCAAAUGAUAUAUAUUCACACUCCAUGAUGAUGAAUAAUAUAAAGCAUUUCCCAUAAUAUAAUAGUUGAAGAAAAAAAAAAAUACUUAAAAAUUAGGCGAGGAACUCGUGAGAUGAGUAGAAGAUUUAAAUUGUUGGAUGUGUGGGCAACGUGAUUUUGAAGCAAUCAGAUUCUUUAUCGUUACAAUAUACGUUGUCGCAAAUCAGGUUACAAAGUUGUUCGCAUUCGCACAUUCGGAACAUCUAGGGUUUGUUAUUCAACAACCGAGGAUGUACCGAAUGCUGUAAAUUUGUCACCACGAGGAACUCUGAUCUGAUUUUGACAGGCAUGGCAAUUGAUUGCCAUGAUCUAAUCUUACAUUUCAGAUCUAAUCUUAAUAUAUGCUAUUAGAUCACAUACACAUGUGCUGCACUUUGCUUUAUUAAUUGGAAUGAGUUAUGUCAGAUUUCAUUUCAUGUAUUUUUUUAUUUUAUUUUUUAAAAAAAAUUAUGUUUUGGUUGGUUUGUAAUUUUUGGGGAGUCUAUUUAAAUGUUCUAAGUUUAAAUAUGACGCUAGUCCCUACAAAAUCAUACAUUUUCAACAUUUAAUCCAUCAAAAAAAUUGUCAAGUUUUAGUCCUUAUUUGCAUUUAUAUGGACUAUUUUAAGGACUAAUAAUAUUUUGUUUAUGAAAAAGUUUACAAAAUAGGGACUAUUUUUUUUUUAAAGAAAAAAUAGGGACUAUUUUUAUAAAGUGCAAUAUAAUAUUAUAGAGAAUUAAACCUACACUUAAAAUUUAAUAGGGACUAAACUUAAAAAUUUGUGACUUUGUAAGAACUAGAAAUAUAUUUAACCAUAUAUUUUGUAUGUAACUUUGAAAUUUUUAUUUCAAAACUAGAAUUUGGAAACGAAAAAUAUAUUUCAAUGGACACACAAAACGAUAAUCGAAUAACCAAAUAAAUUAGUUCAAAUGGUUAACGAGCCCUACCAAAUGACAAAUUGUUUUUAAUUUUAAAGUUUGUAGUUUGUAGUUUAAUUGUUUGUAGUUUUAACGAGCCCUACCAAAUCGACUAACCAAAACGAAAAGUCAUUCAAAACUCAUAGAGAAUUAUUUUUAAUUUUAAAGUUUGUAGUUUAAUUGUUUGAUGAUCAACUUUACGCUUAUUGUUUCCCUUAAAAAAAAAAAAAAACUUCAUGCUUAAUGUAUUUUUUAAUAGCAAAUAUUAAUAUGUUAGUUUUUUUAUCCUUGUCAGACUUACUCUGUACUUACAACUCCUUAACUCUUGGUUCAAACCAAUUGAGCUAUCCACCCUUGUAUGUUUAAUGUAAAUUUUAAUGUAAAUUUUGUAUUGAUAUAUUAAUAUGUUCGGUAAAGAUCAAGAAAAGGAUGCGGUUGUUGUGUUGCUCCAUUGUGGCGGAGGUUGAUCCUUCGCGGUGGUCUUCACGACAUAGGAUGAUUGUGCUUGCAAGUACGUUAACACUCUACGCUCAAAUCAGUAUAUAAAUGAGGUGGUUAUGUGCAAAAUGAUGGUAAGUGAAUUGUCACCCUUAUAUAGGUGCAACCAAACAUAACCUUAAUAUAAAAUAUACGUCUAAUUAGAUACCAUAUCCCACUAUCGCUAUAUAAUCUAUCUAUCAACAAAUGGUUUGUAUUCUACAACGAGAAUACGUGUGUAAUCUAAUCAGCAAGCACAAUUUAGUGGUAGAAAACGGGGGAAAUAAAAAUUGAUAGUUUUGAACCUGCAUCUCCUUUAUUCACCACUCAUCUCCUCUGCAUGGGACAAAUGAUAAAUAUUCACAGUCCAUAAUGGCGUCAGUUGUGACGAACGAGUUAUAAUGAAGUAAGCAAAAUACAUAAAAGUUAGAUAAGGCCAAUAUUUUCUUGUGGCAAAUUUGGGAAUGAAAUACAUUUCUUUAUUUCUUUUUAAUACUAUUUCUUUGUCUUUGGCCAAAUAACAUUUAGAUAUAGUUAGACGUUUAUUAUGUAUGAACUACUUUUUAAGUUUUCUUUUUCUUUUGCUACAUAUUGAUUUUUUAGGCCAUAAAUUAUUUUCACAAUUACCCUCUUUUCACUAGACUUAAUUAAUUAAAAUAUGAUUAUGUGGACGUUUAGUGUUAUAUUGGUGGGUUCAAAAUUCAAAUUUAUUGCACUCAAAAUUAUGAUUGGUGGUAGAGAUGUGGUGUUGGAGUGGGUAGGUGGAUUGAUGACAAUAUUGGUAGAGAUGUAGGCGAUGGUAAUACAACUCUUUUUAGGUGGUGUGGUGUUGAAAAAUGGUAACAAUGAUUUGCUAACUAAUAUUAUUCUGCAGUCUAGUAUUUUUGACAGGUGGCUUUGACAUUUACAUGCUUCACAAUCUUACAAUGUUACAAGUGCCUAUCAUUACUUGAUUUCGACGCUCAAUGUCGAGAGACGGAUCAUCCAAAAUCAAUUUGGAACAAGGAGGUCCCUCCAAAAGUCAGCUUGUUUGCUUGACGUAUGUUUUAAAAUCGGUUACCAACAAUGGACAACUUAUCAAGGACACGCAUUCUUCAGCAUAUAUAACGCUCAACCUUGUGUGGGUGGUUGCGGUUCUAUGGAAGACCUUCAUCACUUAUUCUUGUCUUGUGACUAUUUUGGAAAAAAAAUGGGAUGGGAUGGCAUUUUGCAUUGGGUUGGCUUUAUAAUGGUUCAACCAGCGCAAGUAGCAGAUCAUUUUUACCAACUUUAAACUUUAGGCGGCUUUUUUAAAAGUGUUCGCUUAGUUUUUAAGCUCAUUUGACUCUCUUGUGUGUGGAAAAUCUGGAAUGAAAGAAAUGAUCGGGUUUUUCGUCAAAAAGAGUCCUCGUUACAACAACCGCUUAAAAUUAAGCUUCAAACUUUUUGGUAGCUGAAAGCAAACCGCAACACUAUUUUUAACUAUCAUUCGUGGUAUCUUAAUCCUCUUAAUUGUCUGGGGAUCUUUUUGUAAUGAGUUUCAUUUUGCUUUUGUUCCUUUUAUCAGAUUGUUGAUGUAAUUGUUUUUACUUUUCUAUUUUCAGGCACUCAUUGUGCUUGAAUUGUCAGAUUUUGAGAGUAAUGAAAUCCCAUUUUAACUUUUUCAAAACAAAAAAAACUAUGAUUCAUAAUUGUAUUAUUCAAUAUUGAUUUAAAACAACGUCGUUAGAUUACUUGAUUCAAAAUGUUAUUUAUGAAAUAUUUAUCAAUAAAAUUAAGUUUGAAUUCGAAAAUAAGAAGAAAUAAAUGUGUGUAACUAAUCAUAUUUAGAGUAAUAAACACUUUUUAGACUUAUCAUCUCAAUAUCGAAUAGUAAUAUAAACACUGUUUAAAAUGUUAAAUGAAAAAAUGAUAACAUCAUAAUUAUUUUUCUGAUUUAAAGGAUGGAUUUGUUAAAGGGCUAAUUUAUUGCAAAGUAAAAUUAAAUGUCUUUUUUUUGAUAUAGUGUUACCGUAGACAUGUUAACGUGUUAUAAAAAGGUGAAAUAUAGAACGGAGCAAAAUAUUUUAUCGACAUAACCUCAAAUCAUAAAUAUUUGAGUACAUUAAAAUUAGAAAAAAAAAAUGUUGUAGCAAAAAAAAAAUUAAAAAAAUGAUGUUAAUUAAUGUAACUAAAAUUCCUUCAAAUAAAAGUUAAUGUAACUAAAUUAGUUUAAAGAAAUUAAUUUAGUUACAUUGUUUUGACUUUUUAUUUUAUGUGAAUGUACCCAAAUAUUUUUUAUUUGGGGUUGGACUGUUAUAGAGGAUUUGUUCAUCAAAGUGGUUUCUCGCUUGAGUGAAUGAUAAUCGUAUAUUUUUUUGAGGAAGGUCGGCAUAUAUUUUAUUAAAUUAUGUUUAGACUCCAUUAAUAGGAAUACACUUUUCAAAGGAAUUAAUUCCCUUUUUUAGUCCUGGCACAAUUUUGUACGCCUCUUUAUUUGUCCAUAGUAAGGCUGGGUUUGUAUAUAUGUAGAAGUAAGGUUAAGAUAGACAAAUUCAAGAUCCUAGAUAAGAUCGGAUAGAGGCUACUAGAUUUUGAAUCAGGGAAUCGUAACAGGGAAAAGUUAUGGUGCAUAAGCCAUUUCCUUAUGUACCAUUCAUAAACACUUCACAACCAUUGGAUUUACAUAAGAAAAGACAGUAUAAAAACAACUUCAAACAAAAUAAAGUCAUAAACCAACACUCUCUCUCUCUCUCUCUCUCUCUCUCUCUCUCUCUCUCUCUCUCUCUCUCUCUCUCUCUCUAAGUCUGAAACUUAGAGAGAGAUGUUCUGCAAAAGAGUUUCUUCUCCGACCUCCUCUUCAAGCGCCGGCGCGGUGGCUGCCGGCCCAACAGGGCGGCGGCGCCGCGCCGGAGAUAGCAAAAACCUCCGUUUUCAAAAAAAAAUUCAAGAAUCCGACAUCCAUUUUCUUUUUAAACUUAAAUCCACCUUUAAAAUUUUCGAAAAGCAAACACAUAUGCCUAGAUCUAGCUUCAAAGAUUCGAAAAAAAGGACACGGAAGAGAAGAAUUCGAAAUUGAUAGAAGAGAAGAAUUCAAAAUUGAUAGAAGAGAAGAGAAGAAUUCGAAAUUUGUAGUGUGCUAUGAUUCUGAUGAUUGUUUGCUGGAAAAGUGUUUGAUGGAUUUGUAGUGAAAGCUCAAAAAAUGAAUUGUUGAAACCAUUCCCACAGCAAAAAUUUCUGGAAACCAUUCCCACAGCAAAAUGGUUUUGGAGUACAACACACAGAAACCAUUUCCACAGCAAAAUGGUUUUGGAGUACAACUCACAGAAACCAUUUCUUUCCUCCUCCUCCAAUUGUGUCGGUCCAAAACUGAAUGAUGUCAAUGGCUCUAGGUCCUUAGUUUUUGUUCACCUGCUGGAAACCAUUAAGUACAUCUAAUGAUUUUGGAGUACAACUCACAUAAACCAUUUCCACAGCAAAAUGGUUUUGGCAUAAUUUUAUACAAAACAUACUAUAAUAAGGACAUUUGUGACUGUUAUUGAACCAAAUCAACACUCUGAAAUCAUUAUUGAACUAAAAUGAUGAUUUCCACGGUUGUAGUGUUGUUUCGUUUGGUUUCGCUUGGAGGUGUAGGGAAGCUAUUAUAUUUCAAAUGGAAUUUAUGCACGGUACAUAAGGAUUUCCUUAUGCACCAUAACCACUCCCGUCGUAACACUGAUUAUAAGAUCCUACCAAAUUAAAAGAAUUCAUAAAUGGUGCAUAUAAAUCCAUACAUGUGCAUAUGAAGCAUUAUAAUUUUAAUAGAAAAACUCCAAAUAACACCCAAAUUAAUUACCAAAAUUUGAAAUUUAAGAUCAUAAUAUUUAUAAGGCUAAACUACACUUUUCGCCUCUUAAGUUUUAAAAUAUUGCGAUUUUGGUCCCCUAAAAAAAUUAUAAUUUUGGCCUAUUUCGUUCCAAAAUUGUUGAGAAAGCCCCACAUGUCCCAAAAAGGGGGUCAUAAUCGAAACUUUUUGUAAAGAUAAGGGGUCAAAAAGCAUAUUUUCCAUAUGUUAGGGGGUCAAAAUAUUAUAUUUCCAUAAAAAUAGGGGUCACUUUUACCAUUUUAUAAAUAGUAAAAUGAUGUUUUUUCUUAUGAAAUAUUGUUCUAUAAAAUAUAAAUAUUGACAAAUAGCUAUUUACUACAUAAAAAAUAAUCGUUAAUUUAUAAAAUUAAGAUGUAAGAGUACCGAUACACUUCAUCUUGUGAGUGUACCGUAGAAGUUUCCUAACAUUUUUCUUCUUAUUAAAGGCAAUCAACCACAAUAGAAUGCAUCAAAUAAUAGGCUACAGUACAGCGCUCACCAAAAUAGAAAAAACCAAAUACAUCUUCUCUUACGGUCUUUUACAUUAAUUUUUUUAUUUUUUGAGGAAUUUACAUUAUUUUUUUGAAAAGUACGGUCUUUUAAAUUUUAUAUUUCUAUUAUAUUGAUUUUUUUUUAUAUUUUUUAAUUUUAUAUUGGUCAUUUUUCUUUUUAACCUUUUGCACCAUCGAUAUUCUUUUAAUAAUAAUUCAUUAUAAAAAGGCUGACUUACCUGUUAAACCUGUAACAUAGAUGUUAAACACGUUGCGACUAGGCCAAAUCAGAAAGAAAAAAAUUAAUUAAACAAAAAACUCAAUAUAUACUAUAUAAUAAUUUAUCUAGUUUUUUUUUUUUUUUUGUCUAAUUCAUUAACAGGGUAUUGUACGCGCAUACACAUGUAUCAUCAAAUUUUUGUUUUUAUAUAUCCAUCAUUAGUUCAUUACCUUUUCACCUCCCUACAAGAACAUAUGCAUCUUUGAAUAAUUUGGUGAAUACUCUCGUACUCUAGAGUUUGGUUGAAUACAUAUUAACCAUUAAUUUAAUAUCAAUUAAUUUUUUUAACAAUUUUGAACAAUUUUUUCUACAGAAUUCAUUCAGUAUCCAAUUGAAUUUCAAACUACUUAAAAAUUUACUUUCAAUUUUUUUAAUUAUUACAAGUAUAUGUCACUAUUCUAUUAUCGUAUCAUUGCAGCUACCAUAAACUCAACAACACUGAAACGUCGUUUUUCUAUACGGUACGUAACACUGAAACAACGUUGUUGCUACGCCUACAGUUAUUACUUUCGUUCUAAUCUCAGUAUUGUCAAUGUUACCAUAACCAUUACGACAACAAAUAACGUAUCUAUCAAAAAUGAGGAAAAAUAAGAAUAAAAAAUUAGAAAUUAAGGAAAUCCUCAAGUUGCUAUGCAGUUAACGCCGACAAUUUCUUAUAGCACCAACUUUUCUAGAAGAUUGUUUUGUCUCAGUUAAAUCUUAAUAUUUUUACUAUGAAUAGUAGAGGUUCACGUCUUCCAAAUAUAUGCUGCUUAGUGCUUAUGAUGUUAAUCGUUAUCAAAUUAUCCUUGUAGUGUCAGAUCAUUCUUUGAAUUUAUUUAGGUACCUCUAUUUUCAAUGGUUGUAGUUUGGAAGAGUUCAGCUUGUUAAAAAUAUUUUUGAUAUAUAGCAAGCUUGUUUAAUGUUUUAUGGUGUAUUAUUGGCUUGUAAAACUUCUUAAAGAGAUUGAUAAAUGACUCAGAAACCUCAUCUCGUCUCAGGAUAUAAAUAAUGAGUAAUGAUACAUAGAGUUGGUUAUUUGCUUGCCAUAAAUAAUAGAAAGUUGGUUAUUUGCUUGCCAUAAAGUUCCCGGGGAAGAUUUAUUAUUCCCCAUGGGUCAUGGAUAUAGGUCAAGUAUAUCUAACUGUGGUCGUGGUGGUGGUGCAAACCAUACUGCUUGUGGUGUGGAAAUGGUGAGAGAUGGAAGAGAAGAAGAAGAAGAAUCAUGAAAGAAUAAUACAAUGAAGAAAGAAAAGAAAAAAAGAAAAAAAAGGAGAAAAUGGGAGGUGUAUAAUCUUGUCUAUAUGGUCUACAAUUGGAUAUGUGCCUCCGUCCUUAAUUAUAAAGUCCUUUUGAAAAAAUAAUGGGAGUUAAGAUAGUGGAUAUUUGUAUUAAAUGUGUUUGUAAUUACUAUUGUUUUUACAAUUUUAUCCUUUAAGAGAGAUGAUUGAUUUAUGUUUUUAACAUGUUAUUUAUUGCUGAUUGAAGAAAAAUAUGUAUAAUAAAGAGGGGCAUAUAUGUAAAGAAAUAAUUAAUGUAGUUGGAAAUAGCAAAAGGAUUUUAUAAAAAGUGACAAAAAAUUUUCUCUUAUAAAUAGGGACGGAUGUAGUACAUUAAAGGUUACAUGAAAUAAAAGUUCGCUAGCUUGAUAUAAAUCAUGCUUCGGAAAAUAUUCGUAGAAUAGUUAUUUUUAUUUUUAUUUUGAAUAAACUAUCAAUAUAUGAUUGUGGAAUUAUAGGCUCUCUCCAAUUUCGCAAUGAACUAUAGGAAUAUAAUAAAUAGUCCAUAAACUAUUAUAAAUCCAUCAAGCUAGUUAGCAUAGUUUUAAAACUCGGAUCGGACCCCAACACCAUCAAAAAAAAAAAGAUAUUCAUAUGAUAUAAGUUUUUAAAAAACUGUAUCAAACUUUCAGAAGACUCAAACCUAAAAUGUAGGUCCGACAAGCUACAAGCCAGACUUAAGCUUUAAAAAUAUUUGAUGAUGAGAGCCAAGCUUAGGCCUUGCAAAGCCUAAUUCAAACUAGCCUAUUUCCACCCCUCGUGGUAGUCAUGAGGAGUUGCAUGUGGUUGUCAUAUGAAAGGAGUAUUUUUGAAUUAUUUUAUGUUUGCAAGCAGUUAAUUAGGACCACUCUGGCAUGGACAGGUGGAAUGUCGCAACAUUUUGAACAUAUUAAUUAACACAGAAUAAUUGGAAUGAUUUUUUUGGCAAAAUUAUAUUUUUAGUCCUUAAUUUAAUAGUUUGGUCCUUUGUUUUUUUCAUUUCAAUUUCGUCCUUUUGGUUCAUUUACAUUUGGAUUUUCAAGUUUCAAAUCUAAUAUUUAUAUGUAAACAUAUAUGAAAGAAGGGAAAAAAUUGUGCAAUUAUGGUAACAAAAAAAACUCAUGCAAUUGUGACAAACAAAUUUAAGUUUUUGUUGACGGGUGCCCUAAGAGAAUCGUUUAAAGAUUCUAUUAAAAACAAUUGCCUUUAAAAUACAACAUUUUUUUUGUCAAUGCAAUUGGCUUUUUUCAUUGUUUUUUGUGACGAAGGCAGCAUACGUGAACAUUUAAUUAUUGAAAUAAAAAAUAUUAUUAUUGAUUCUUUUAUACUCCACAAUAUAAAAAAAAAAAAUGUAGUAUAAAAAAAAAAAGUCGUUGGUGGUCAUUAUAAUUAGGCAGAGAUAAAACUAGGCAUUAAGCAAUAAGAGGGGCUGCUGUCAGCCCCACAGUAUUAAAAGUCGCUGUUUCCUCCGUCCUAAAAAUUUAGGGUUUAGGGUUUAGACUUUUUUUUUUUUUUUUAUUGAAAAAAUAUCCUAAAAUGAUCAACAUUUUUAAUAUAGUACUUUUAAAUCAAUUGUUUAAAGAGAAAUAAUAUUUGAACAACCAUUUUUUAUAACUUUUGUGAUAACUUUUUCUCUCAUACUCACAUUAUCUUUUUACUUUCUCUCUCUAUUGCUUUGGUUUUUGUGCCACUACCUCAUUUUUUUUGUAAAAUUUUGGUUGUCACAAAAGUUGUCACAUAUAUGGAUGUUCAAAUAACACAACUCUUAUUUAAAUGAUUAUUAAAUACUACUCCUUCUGUUUUAUGAUAGAUGUCCUCUUUACCAAAUUUUUUUAUCAAAUUAUUUGUAGCAUACCUUUAUUUAUUGCAUUUUAAUUAUUUAUAACUAUAGGUGUUUACGGUGCGGUUUUAAUCGAUAUUUUUGAGGGAAAAUGUCAUUUAAUCCAAAAUAAAAAGUGGUUCGGUUCAGUUGGAUGACUAUUCUAAAAAAAUCCAAACUGACCCGAUUCAAAUAUAUGCGGUUUAAUUUGGUUCGAUUUUUGGAUAUUCAAAAUACAAAAUGUAUAUUUUUUAUUUAGUUUUUUUAAGAAUAUAAUUUUUUUUAUUAAUAUUAAUAUCCCACAAACACGGUAAGUGAGAUUGACGUCACACCAUCAUCCAAAAUAUUAAGGCAUUAGGUAUAUUGAUCAUCUCACUUAUAUAUGUUUCUCAACACCUACUCUUGCAUCCAAUGUGGAACGUUAAGUCACAAUUGAUAAAUUAAUAUACCUCCCUUUAAUGUGAGACUCUUUCUGUCUGUGAUCCGGUGACAAACCAAAUAAGGUGAGGUGGAGGCACAUCAUGGUAAAAAAGAUGGGUUGACAGUGGUUUCAUGGAGGAAGAUUUAUAUUCCUAUCUUUCAUGAGAAGAGAGGGAGAAAAUUAGAAAGAAAAAAAAAGUAGUGGGUUUUGUUCGGGAAACAAUUAUGAAUAGAGCGAGUUACCGGUAAUUUUAUGGGGUUGUUAUAGGAGUUGGAGAUUAAUGAGUUAUAUUUCACCAACAAAUAUAUAUACCCAAUUAAAAAAACUUUACAUUGUUUUAAAAUGUCUAAUAAGCAUAUACUUAGUCAACCCCAUGCAACACAUCUGAAUUUUUUCCAUUGUCACAACUCACUAAAGACCAAAAGUGAAGGUAUUUGAAAUAAUUGAGGUUCGAUAAAAAAAUGCAUGAAAGAUAACUACAUCCAAAAACUUAUAUUUGAUAUAAAAAAAAUUAAGAAAAUGAUAUCCAAAAUCUAUAAAAAAAAUAAAAAAAAAUAAAAAAAAAAUAAAAGUUCAUCAUAAUGUUAUGAGUUUUAGGGAGUCUGAAUGGGUUGGAUCAUCACAUUUUACUAAGAGAAACCUCACAAGUGAGAUUGACACCACAUCCUCACCAAAAAAACUUCAGACAUUAGGUAUAUUGAUCAUCUCGCUUAUAUGUUGCUCAAAAUAUACUCUUUCAUCCAAUGUAGAAAUUUAACUUACAUAUGACACAUUAACAUAUCUCCCUUAAGUGUGAGAUUUUUUGUGUUUGUGAUCUGGUGAGAUAGUCGAAUAAGGUUAGAGGUACAACAGGGUAAAAAAUGUGGGUUUAUGGCGUUUUCAUCUUAAGGAUAUUUUUGUUCCUUUUAUUUUAUGAGAAAAGAUAAAGUAAAUAAGAAAGAAAAAAUAAUAAAAAAGGAAUUUGAACAUGAGAGAAAUGAUAAUGAAAAAACUAAGGAGUGUGUGUUUUAUCGAUGAGAGUAUAGAGAAUAAAAUGAGUUGUUGAUAAUUUUUUGGAUUUGUUGAAAGAGUUGGAUUACUGGAUAAUUACGCUACCAAAAUAUUAGACUCAUUAAAAAAAAUGUCACAUCAAUUUAAAAUAUCUAAUAAACAUGUAUUUUAUCAAUUCAACAUAACACAUCUAUAUGUUUCUACUGUCGGAUCACACCAAAUAUCAAAAGUGAAUGAAUUUGAAAUAACAGAGGUUGAAUAAAAAAACAUCAUGAAAGCGAAUGACAUAAAAAAACUAAAAUUUAAGAUAAAAAAUUAAACAAAUGACACCCCUAAACUAACAAAACAAAUCAUCAUAAUGUUGGAACUUACAUGGAGCCUACAUUAGAUUGUAUCGUGGCAUUUGGCUUAGAUGAACCACACAAGUGAGUUUCAAAUCACAUAUUCAUCAAAACUCUUAAAAUAUUAGGUAUAUCGGCCAUCUUGCUUAUAUGUUGUUGAACAUCGACUCUUGCAUACAUUGUAAAAUUUUAAUUCAUAAUUGACACAUUAACAUCUUUCUCUCAAGUGUCAGACUCACUAUGUCUGUGAUCCACUACUAAGAACCACUCCUAUUCCUCCACAAUGUUGAACUGGAAUAUGAUACCAACUGUUGGACCUUAUGAGGAAGGCAACACUGAUGUUGAUCGACACCUUAGAGAGAGCAAUCACACAAGUGAGAAUAGUAACACAUGUUCAUCAAAAAAUCUAAGGCUUACGUAUAUGAGUUUUUUCACGUAUUUAUUAUUCAACCUUCAGUCUUUUAUCUAAUGUUGGAUUUUAAUUUACACUUUAUACAAUACAAUAUUCUCUCCCUCAAGUGUGACAAAAUUCUAGUAUGUGUUUGGCACGGGUGUCCAUACUAAUUAUCUAUAACUAGGGGUGUUUGCGGUGCGAUUUGGAUCGGUUUUGAGACAAAAUAUCAUCCAAUCCAAAAUAAAAAGAGUAAAUUACUCCACCCUCCCUAAGAGUUGAAGAUAUUACACUCCCCUCCUCUCAUGGUUUGAAACACACAUUUUAUAACUUUAUAAUUACAAAAUACUACUUUCUCACCAUUUUAUAACUUUCCUUUAACUCUUUAGAAUAAUUCAGUCAAUAUGUUUCUUUUACUAAAAUAACCUUUAAUCGUUUCUAACCUUUACUAUCUCCUUCACCGUUAUCAACACAAUAAUGAUGUCGUCCGCAAUUUCUCCAUUGUUAUGAGAGUUUUAGAAACCACCGAUCCAAUAAUUUAUCGUCUUGACCUUUACACAUAUAGCUUUUCUCUCUUAAAUAUCAAACCCCUUUCUCCCAUUUCCCCUGUUAUUAACUUUCUCACUUACUUGCAUCAAAUCUCACAUGUGAGUUAGAAAUUGGGGUAUGAACCUCACAAGCUGUGAACAAUGGAAACAUAAGUCCAAGACAGUGGUGUUUCUUGUGCGGUGGAUAUAUUUGGCUGAUUUCAUGAAUUACUUGAAGAAAAAUUCUAAAAAAAAGAUAUAUUAUUUGCAGUCGGUGCAAUUUCUUAAAAAAUAGCUGCAAAGAAAUUUUUGUAGCUGCAGUCAAUUGAUCAGAUCAGGCAAGCAUAGAUAAAGGAAUUAUAUGAUUAAAAAAAUGAAAAGGUACGUUUUUCGGUACAAUGAAAAAGUUAAAUGAAAAGGUACUUUUUAACAAUGAAAUUUGUUUAACGGCAGUUAGAAAAUUUGACGGAAAAUCUUAAAUUGGAUUAAAUUGAAUUAGUUUUUAUUGAAUAAGGGGAGGGGACAAAGUAUUUAGAAACAUGAGGGGAGGGUAGUGUAAUAUUGGUAUCUUUUUAAGGGAGGGGGUGUAUUUUACCCAAAUAAAAAUGAUAUGUGGGUCGGUUCGGUUUGAAUGACUAUUCUAAAAAAUCUAAACUGAUCUGAUCCCAAUAUAUAUGGUUUAACUUGGUUCGAUUUUUGGAUAUCCAAAACGCAAAAUGCAUAUUUUUUAUUUACUUUUUUUAAGAAUGGAAUUUCUUUAUUAAUAUUAAUAUUACAUAAACAUGGUAAAAUAAUAGGUUUGAUGAAAAGUAUAUAAAAAAAUAAUUAUAGUAUGAAAAUUAGCGAUUCUUUUUUAAACAUAUGAAGUAAUAAUAAUAUAAAUUAAAUUAGUGCAAUAUAUAAGAUUAAAAAUCAACAAGCAACAUAAUAAUGCAAUAGAUAAUACUAAUAAAAGAAUAAAUAAGUAUUAAUAUUUACUUUUGUGGUUCGGUUUGAUUCAAUUUUGAGAAAGUGGUCUGAAAUCUGAUCUGAUCUUAGUUGUUUUUACAAAACAACAUCCAAACUGAACAACAUCCAAACUCAUCAAAAAUAUUUGGUUUUUUUGCUGUUUUUGGAUUUUUUGGAUCGGUUUGAAUUUGAGCACCCUUAUCUAUAACUAUUACACUAAUCAUAAUUAAUCAUGGUGUUUUAGUAAAUGAUACACAUUUUGUCAUUAAAAUCAAUAUUAUUAAUCAUUUUUAUAACCGUGUAAGACUCAAAUAGAACAUCUAUUGUGAGACGGAUGGAGUAAUUAAUAUCACAUUCACAAAUCUUAAUUCACAUCUUUUACUUUAUAUUUAUAAUAUUGAUAAAUACAUCAAUAUCUGAUAAGGACACUUUAGUAAAAAUAUUUAUCUCUUUUUUUUUUUUUUAAUAUAUAUGAAAUAUUCAAGUAAAUUGGUUAAUUUGAGACAGAGUGUACUACUUAUGUGUAAGAAAUUCAUUCGCAAUUAAGUUCUUUUAAAAGAAAAUUGAUUUUGUUGUUUUUUUUAAAUGCAUCCAAGCUAUUUAGAAUGUCAUCAAUCUGUCCCCAUGAACUUAACUCAUUUGGUAAGGAUAAUGCAUAAUAUAUGUAAGGUCUGGAGUUUGAAUCCCAACCACCACCCAAAAAAAAAUGUCCUCAAUCUUAUGAUAAAUUAUGCUUAAACUAAGGGGAUGCCUCAACUAUUAAUCAUUAUCUUCGUUUGCUACAUUUGAUUGAGGAAAAAGAAAAUGUUAAUGAUUGUCGGCCUUUUUAAGAUUAUAAAGAAAAACUUUUAUGUGUUAUGAAUACAAGUAAACAGAGAUGAUAAUAAUAGAGAGAAGGAGAAGAAGAGAGAAUAGGAGCAGUAUUUUUAUUCACUGAUGUAUAUAUCAAUGUUACAAAUGAGCUCUAUUUAUAGGGAAAUAGAGUAGCUUAUGAAUUAAGCCCAAUAACCUAGUAGUAUGGCCCACUAACACAUUUGCUAUUUGGACAUCCACUAUUAAUAUUUAUAACACUCCCCCUUGGAUGUCCAUUGAGGAUAUGCCUCAUUAAAACCUUACUAGAGAAAAACCUAAUAGGAGAAAAAUUCUAGUGAAGGAAAAAGAGUACAAUAUCCCUUUUGUGUAUGAUAAUCUGCCUCGUUAAAAACCUUACCAGGAAAACCCAAUGGGACAAAACCAUGGUUAAGGGAAAAAGAGUGCAGAACACAUUUAUGUCUCCCCCUCAUAAAGACAAUCAUCUAUGAGACGAAGAAAGUCAAAUAAUAUUUGUUCUAGUUACUCAAAAGUUUACUUGCAGCGACUUUGUUGAAAUAUCUGGUUUAUCUUCAUAGUCUUCUUCAAAUUAGUAGUGCUUGAGAAGUUUCUUCAUAUUGAGUUGUUGCUUUAAUAAAUCCACAAUUUUAUUGUAUUUGUAAAAUCAUUAUCCUUAAUAAAAGAGCAUUCUCCACUUUCUUGAUUAUGUUGUUUCUUUAAGAUGCAAAACAUAUGCUUGACUUUGUUAUGAUACCUGUAUUUACUAAUAUUGACAAAAACAAAAUACCACAAUACAUAUAAUUAACACAAUACAUUAAUGUUCUCGUUUGAACUAAGAUAUGGUACUUCGAGACCAAUUCAAGUUAUUUAUCGUUUUCUAGAGGACAUUUUCUAUACUAACAUCGAGUGACAUCACAAUCAUUCUAGUACACAAUAAACUAGAUGUGUUCAUAUCAAAUACAUUUGUUAUAUAAGUUUCUUGAUGCACAAAAUCUCAUUUAAAUGAUAAAUCAGCAAAUCCAAACAAACUUCGUGCAUGCAACAUAUUUAAUUUCAAAUAUUUCUAUAAUUAAUAGAUGUUAGAAUCUCUUCAGGAGUUCAAUAAUAUUUAUACCAUCAUCAUUAAAAUGAUUAUAACAAAUUCAUUUUCAAAUAUUUAGAAUGGACAUAUGAUGUCAUUUCUUCAAUAUCUCACGGAAAUUAACUCUAUCGGAGAGUUUCAUAUACUCGUCACUAUCACGUGAGUCAUACAACUAUAUUGCAACACAUCUUUCAUAUAAAUUGAGCCUUUCAUGUAAUACUAAACUUAAUCAAGCAAGAAAAAGUUCUUGAAAUCACUUCAGGUGAAUUUGUCUCUUAAACAUAAACGUUAGACAUAUAUCAGCUCACUUCCGGUGAACAUAUCAAACUCUUUACAUAUGUAUUUUAUCAAUAUAAUUCUCUUUCGCGCGAAAAAUCUUAUAUAUCUAAUUAACUUCACAUCUUCAAGUAUGCGGACUACAAGUCCAAAAAGUUCGACUUUACAAAGCGAGUUUGAUUUCAUUUUUUAAUCCAUGAUCCUCAUUAACACUCAUCACAUAUAGCGCUAUGUUAUAAGCAAAAACAUCGACAACGUUGACUUUUAAUUUUGUUCCACCUCAUUCCAUUCAUGACAAAAUUUAUCGAGAUCUCUUUAUUUUUCAUACAUCUCAGGUACCUGGUCGGUUCUUCUGGAACUUAAAAUCAAAUAUGUCAGAUGACUCUUUUAGAGUUUACACAUCCUUAUUUGAGUUAUCUUUAUUUUUAGCUCCUUUUAUUGUUUGAGGAUUUUAUAUGUGGAACUGAUUGGUCUACCACGCUUCAUGCGUAGUUGAGACUCAUUUGCAAUAAUCGACAGGGACAUCUAUUUCGAUUGGAGCAUUAGCAGCUGCUUAUUUUAUUUGUUUAACUUUGCAAACGAGUUAUAUUUUGAGGAUCAAGAUGAGACAAUAAUAUUUUCUUUCAAAUAAUUCAUUUGAACUUCAGGUUCUCAUUUUCAGCUGCUUAUUCUCUCCCCCAAAUAUUGGGAAAACUAAUCAGCCUACUAGGCUGUAAACAAGUUGGCUCAAUAUAAUUUAUAAUAGAUGAAGAUUCAUAUCAAAUAGAUUUUAACAAUAUUCUAUCAUAUUCAAUCUAAGUGCAUUAUAUUGGAGCAAUUGUGAUAGACACAACACAUCCAAAAAUUUACUUAGAUGAGAAAUAUUAAGUUCUUAACCAAAAUAUAAAUUAUAAAAUAAGGUGAGGACUUACAUAUGGUAACUUGUUGGCUUGAUGCGAAUAAAUAUUUCAACAUAUUGGUUAUUCCCAAAGUAGAGUUUUGAAGGUAUGGUCUCAUAAGUAUAAAUCAUACAAUUAACUUUAGACUUCUAAGGAAUGGAUCUUCAAGUCCAUUUUAUGAGCAUAUGCUAAAAGUUGUUUAAUAUCAAUUUCAAUUGAUAAUACUUAUCAAAUGUUUUUUUGAAAAGUUCAGAAAAUAAACUCUUUGUCAAAUUUGUUGACAAGAUAAUCGCACAAACUUCUGGUUUGUGGGUUAAUAAUAACCAUACAUGUCAUUUAGUUCAUCUACACUUUCGAUGUAUUGAUUCACAAAUAUCAACUUAUACGCAUUUACAUAUAUUGAGAGACCAAAAUUCUCAAAUUUUCUACUUUGAAAAAAUAGUUAAGACACAAAAAGUAUUUUAUUGAAAAAUCUUCUGGCUCUUCAAUACAAAUUCAUUAAAAUUUAUUUAUUUUUCGCAUCAUAACGAAUCCGGGAUAACCCAACCGGUAUUGCCAACUACAAACUUAAUAUAAUAUGUAAACUUCUGGUUUACAAUAAUAUGUGCUUCCGUUGCACUAAUAUAAGUGUAGUACAGAUAAGAGGAAAAUAACUUUUCCACAACACUUAUUUUCUUCAGAGUAUAUUUCACCGAAUAACAAAAGAAAAAAAAUCAUGUUCUUCAGAAGCCUUCAUUAAUCAUGUAGUUCUUGAGGAACUACAAGAUAAAUCAUUAUUUGAGCAAUCCUUCAGGGAUUGUUUAAUACACUCAAAAUGAGCAUUCUAAACAUGAUUUGUAAACUUCUGGUUUACAAUAUUACGUGUUUCAUUUGUUCUUAUCUAUUUGAAACAAUAAUGAACAAAAAAAAUAUAUCCAAGUGAAACAAUAUAAUAAAUAUUCUAAAUUUAUCUUUUGCAUACCCAUAGAUAGAAAUAUAGAUAAACGCAAAAUUUCUCUAAUAAACAAGACUUUAUAAAUCAUACUCAUUUCUCAGCUGAGUAAUAAAGCAACACAAACUGUCAAUAAGAUAUAUUUUCAAAGUUUGACAUAAAAGAAUAUGGAUAUCUCUCAUGUAAUAUUUACAAGAUAAAAAUCUUGUGGAAUAAGGAAGAAGAAAAUCUUAAUCAAAUAUAUUUUUGUUCAUAGAAUAAGAGAACAAUCUUGCAAGUUUAUGAAAGAAAACAAAGCAUAGAAGUUUAAAAUAUUACCUCAAACAAAAAAAAAUUGAUACUAAUUUUCAACUCAUCUAAGUUCAUACUAGUGGAAUUUUAUGACUUUGACAUGUAUCAUAUCAAUAGUAAUAUGUACUAAAUGAACUUCAAUAACCACAGUGUUGGAUAUAUAAAACAAAUAGCAUGAAUCAUUCACUUCUGGGAAUGCCGUUCAAUUUAUGACGUGACAUUUCACUAUUUUAAUCAAUAACCACUUAUAAAUUUAACUAAUAUUUCAAAAAUAUUUUUUGUUGUUUUCUUAAUUGUGCUACUUCAGGAGCAUAUUUGAGUGGUGUAUAAAUUAACAUAUUGUCUUCUCUUUUUUUUCUUUCUCUUUUCCUUUUUUUUCCGCAUCAAUGCGAAGAUCAAAUAGAUCUUUUAAACUUUAUCAUGAUCUAAAUGUAUAGUUCUUCGGGAACUCAUAUAUUCAUAGAUGUAUAUGUGUAGUUCUUCAGAAACUUACAAUCAAAUUUAUACAUCAAUAUAAAAAAAAUCAGAUUUGUUAUGCAAAAAAAUUAGCUACCAAGAUUAAGGAAACAACCACUUUUUAGAUAUACACUGACGUGCCAAACUGAAUCCAUAAUUUUAGCGAAAAAUAACUUAAGUUUUCAAAAUAAAACAAAAUUGUCUAACAAAUCCUUUCAAAAUUCUUUUAACACAUUAAAAAGACUUAAGAUACAAUCGAAAUAUAACAUUACUUGUAAUCAUAGUUAUUCUAAAAUAACAGAUUUUCCUUAGCAAAAUGUAUUUCCUUUUGUAUUUAUCUUCGGCCAAUCAUGUCAUUUAAUCAAAUUAAACUCAUGGUAAUUGAAGGCAAUAAUGAAUCAUAAUAUUUCUCUAAAAACAUAAUCAUAAUAUUCAAAAAUUAAUCUCAUUAAAUAACAGUAAAUUCAAUGAUGAAGCAGAAUCCAAUAUUGCAGUUUAAAAGUAAAAUAAUAUCGCACAUAUUUUAGAAAUAUGUAUGUAUUUGAUUCAAACCUUAUGAACCAUGUGCUGAUCAUUUUAAUGAGAGAUUUGUUGAGAAUAAACCAAUCAUCAUAUUUAGAUUCAAGUCCAAACCAAUUGAUUGCCAAAUUCAUGUACUGAAUCCAAAAACAAUUUUUUUACGACUUUUCGUUAACAUGCUAAUCACUCGCAAGCGGAGCUUAUUUGGUCUUAAUAUUGUAUUGAAUUCUUCAAGAAUUCAAGGCUAAUAUUAUUCACGAUCAAACCAAUUCUUUUAUUUCUUCAAGAAGCAUGUCCCAAAUGAUCUAUAUCAAAGUCUUAAUUCUUGAGGAACUAUAUUACACUUUUUUUUUUUUUUAUACAUAUAAUCCUUCAAGAAUUUUUAGCAUUAGUUCUUCGGGAACUAUACCGCAAUUUUGAACGAUCCUACGAGAUGUUUGAAUAUUAAAUUUGUGAGUUCUUCAAGAACUAUGUCACAAAUAUUUUAUUUCCUAAAAAAAAUGUCACAAAUCUCUCUAAGCAAGGAUCAAGGAUAAACAUAAUUUUCGCAUUCAUUCUUGAUAUUACAUUAUUAAUUCUUCAGGAAUUUAUACCAAAAAUGUAGAUGGUGUUUGAGAAUAUUACUUUGAAUACUCCUUCAAGGAUGUCUAAAUUUGUGAGUUUUUCAAGAACUAUAUCACAAAUCUUUAAAAUAAAUUGAUCAAAAUAAAUUCAUUAGUAUAGAGAAAAUUAAUUAAACAGAUUGAUCAUGUUUAUUUGAACUGAGUUUGUUACCUGAGUUCCAUAUUAACUAAGUUCCAUAUAAUUUUUUUUUUUUCAUAACUGAACUGGUUCCAUCAAAGUCGCUUAUUUUGUUAUAAGAAAUUGAUUGCAUCAUUAUUAGUUUGUUAAUAGAAAAGCAAAUGGUGCUAUUUAAAUGCAAGAAGAAACACAUGUAUGAUGACAUGUCCUUUUAAUUUAAAGAAUAAAGAGUAUAAUUAAUUAUAAGAUAAUUACUACAAAAUAAGUGAUGCUAUUUCUUAGGUGAUAAGUGUAACACAUGAUGACUAACGACUACAUGUUCUUCAAUUUAAAAAAAAUAGAAGUAUACUUCUCAUAAUUAGUUGAGAAAAAUGCUACACGUUAAGGUUAUAGUUCCAUAUUUAUCGGAUAAAAAAACAAGUAUAUUACUUAUAUUAUAUUAUACGAUGAGGAUUUUAGUACCUCCAUACGAUGAGGAUUCAAUUACUCAUGCAACCAUAACUUUUAAAAUGGUAGCUAUUCAAAUUUCACGAUAAAUGCACAAACGUACGAUAAUAAUAAUAAUAAAAAUUGUAGUACUUUUGCGAUCCUUCAGGACGUAUAUUCAUUAAAUAUUUGAGUUCUACAAGAACUAUGUACUAAGUUUGAUAAAUCAUUUAUUCAAUCCUUCAAGGAUGCAUCACGAUUGAAUUCAUCAAGAAUACAUUAAUAAAAAUUGAUUUUUAAGCGAUCCUUCGGGGAUGCACUAGUAUUGAAUUCUUCAUGAAUUCAUUAAAAAAAUUAAUUUGUAUGUGCAAUCCUUCAAGGAUGCAUUAGUAUAGUGUUGAAUUCAUUUUGCAUUAGUACUACCGUUGAAUUCUUCAGGAAUUCAUUAAAAAAAUUUUACAUGUGCAAUCCUUCCGUGAUGCAUUGAAUUCUUCAAGAAUUCAUUAAGAAAAUUUUAUAUGUGCAAUCCUUCCGGGAUGCAUUAGUAUUGAAUUCUUCAAGAAUUCAUUAGUCUUUAUUUAUUUACUUUUAAGCGGUCCUUCAAGGAUGCAUGCAUGUUGAAUUAAAAUAAAUAAACACUAUAUAAUUUGCAAAAUAACAAUGAUGUGUAUCUAUUAAGUUCUGAUUCCAAUUGAUGGAAUUGUAACAGUGACCUAAAAUCAUCGAUACAAAAUUACAAUUAUUUGAUGAUAGAAUACAAAAAAAAUCAUGUACGUUCUUAACAAAUUAAAGCAACCGAUUCAAAAACACAAACAAAUAUCACCAAAAGAGUCAUGAUGUUAUAUGAAUUUAUAACAACAAUUAAACAGGCACAUAGAUUUCAUAACUAUCAUGGUCGAUUACCAAAAGAAAACCAAAAACCAAUUUCUAAUGAUCAUAUUACUAUGCAAUCACGUAUAUACACAAGUAAAUUAUAUGCAAGCGAAAAACUAUGAAUUAGUGAAUAUAUUAUAUGAAUACCUUUUCAGUGAUUAGAGCGUGCUGAUAACGUGUUAUGAAUACAAGUAAACAGAGAUGAUAAUAAUAGAGAGAAGGAGAAGAAGAGAGAAUAAGAGCAGUAUUUUUAUUCACUGAUGUAUAUAUCAAUGUUACAAAUGAGCUCUAUUUAUAGGGAAAUAGAGUAGCUUAUGAAUUAAGCCCAAUAACCUAGUAGUAUGGCCCACUAACACAUUUGCUAUUUGGACAUCCACUAUUAAUAUUUAUAACAUUAUGAAAAUUUAUGGAUUCAAUUCAUCAUAAAUUGAAAGUUAUUACCAUUUUAAAAAAAUAAACUCUAUAAAAGCACUCGUUAGCAAGAUAAUCUAAAGUGCUUUGGAUAGAAUUGAUUCUAGCAUAAUUGAUUCUGAUAGAAUUGAUUCUGACAUAAUUGAUUUUGAAAGAAUUGAUUUAUGUUUGGAUACAAUAAUGUAGAGUUGAUUAAAGAGAAUGAAUGUUGUUUGGAUGGUUUUGAUCAAAAUUGCUUUUGAAUGUAUAAUUACUAAAAUGGACAUAGCUAAAUACAAAUAAAUGGAUAUAGUUGAAUGUAUCUGUAGAUCAACAUUAAAUGUAGAUAUAUUAUUUAAUUUAAAUAAAUAAAUUUCUUCUAUAUAUUAAUUUAAAAAAUAAUAAAUACGAUCAUUAAACCAAAAAAAAAUUGACAAAAUAUUUGUUCUAUGUAUUUUAUAUUUUUUAUAAAAUAUAUUUAAGUUAAAUAAUAAUGGAGCUGGUUUCCAAAAACGAUAAGUAUAGUGUAAAAGAAAAAAUAUAAUUCUGAAGGAAAAAAAUUUUGGAAAAAUUCUGAAGGAAAAUUUUUUUGGAGCUGGUUUCCAAAAACCAUGAAUAUUUUUUGGGGUUAAUUUGAUUCGUUAAAUUUUUUGAUUAAAUGUGGUACAUUAAAUUAAAUACAAACCAAAAAGAAGGAGAAUUGAUAAAGGACCAUAAAGGAAAUAAUGGGUAGUAAUAAUCAAAAUAUAAAAUUUAAUGGAGAAUUGAUUCUAGUUAACUCAAAAGCUAGGAAUUGUAGCUUCAGCCAGAAUUACUUUUACAUAAGAGAAUUGCUUUUGUAAAGUUGAACAUGUGAAAAAUUGCCUUUUUCAAUUUUGAGCCUCUAGAAUUGCUUCUGGUCUUGGAAUAAGCUGAACCAAACAGCUAAUUAGAUGGAUUAUCUCAAGACAUAAUUCAGAUAUGACUAUGAGUGUUGAUGUAUAUUCUCCAUGAGGCUACUGCUACUCACCACGACUCCCAAACCCACGAUAUAUAUUGAGGUUGGUUACACAAAUACUAUUUUAACAUAAAUAUAAGAAAUAAAACAAAUAAUAAUAAACUUUGGUGGAAAACACUCAUAAUAAACUUUAGUAGCAGAAAAAGUCAAAGAACACUGGAAAAGAUGAAGACAAAGUACUCGAAAACCUUUUUCAGCUAGCAAUUACAAGUACGCAUGAUGAAAUUUAUUAAGGGUUUUUCUAUCAUUUGCACAUAUUAAGAAAUUUAAAGUGGUAACUUUGACUUAAAACUUGUGCAUUUUAUAUUAAAUAUGUUGCUUUUUAAUAAAUAAGUGUUGUUUUUCAAUGAAAAUUACUACUUUUAGAUGUCUUACAUGUUGUUCUUAAAUGUAUAACAAUGUCUAACACGGGUUGAUGGUCAACACUCGUAAGUUUGGGACGGAAGGAGUAUAUAUUUGUGUGUGUCGACCUGUUCGUGUCUACGUCUGAGUCUGUGCUUUAUAAUAGAAAUCGUCAACAAUCGUGUCCAUGUCGGAGUUUGUGCUUCAUAAUAGAAAUCGUCUACAAAACUUUGAAAAUUAAUAUAGAUCCCACACUUUAGAAAUGGAUCUCAUAGAAAGUGUUCGGAUCCACAUUGACUUCAUCUAAUAUGAGAGUGAGUGUUGAAAGGAGAGUGUUGUUAACACUCCUCUCUCAUCAAUACCUCAUGACAAAACUCCACAUUCAAUUUAGUCAACAAAACACAAAGAACAAGAAGAAAACUGAAGGGGAAAGAAGGCUCAAGAGAUUAAAACCAAAGUUUGAUAUUCCUAUUACUAGUCUAUAAUUAAAUAUGAACUUGUUUUUCUAUCACAAAUGAAAUAUAAACUUGAUCAGAGCAUAUGUGGAGGUGCUUUUGUACUAGAGAAUAUCCCAUGGCUUUCUACAAUACAUAGACAUCAAAAGAAUAACACAUGAUUCUGUGAUUUCAAUUGUUUUCCCAAUUCUGCAUUCUGAUCUUGCAUACAUCUGCAAUACUGACAAAAGAUAAAGAAAAUAAAUUAGCAAAAAUACCAAAAUGAGAAUAAAAUAAUCACAAUGAAUUAUCAUUUGAAUUGUCAAUAGAUUUUAAAGCAAUGCAAAUAUUUGAAUCAGAAAUUCAGAAUUGAACUGUAAAUGAGACUUACAGAAUUGUUAAGUUUGUUCAUCAAUUUUCGUAAUCAUCGAACAAUCCUCUCCAGGCAAAAAAACACGAUCACCAUUCUUUGUAUGUCUGCUUGGAAAUUGAAAAAAUAUAUACUUGUCAAAGCAAAUGAAGAAUAUUCUGAGUGGGAUUAUACGGUGUCCAUCGACACAGUUAUAAACAAUGUAUAUUAACAUGCCGUAUGAAAAGUUUCUUUGUACAUAAAAAUGAAAGAAAAGCGAAAAACAGUCUCCUUACCAUCUUGAUCUUAUUCCAAUUUUCCGUAGCUCGCGCAAUUGCUGAGCUAUGUCUUGAAUAAAUUUUUUUCCAUCAUUUCCAUUUUGAAGAGAAUUUGUUAUGUGUGCAAUAAGAUCAUGAUCAAAUUCGAGCGCCUCUAACCGGUCAUGAAGGUCUGAUAUUUCAUUUUCUAGAGCAACCAAAUCAGCUUCUCUUCUAGAUUUGGAAGACAUUGGUUCUACACAUGUGGAAUCGUUGUUUUCAAUACUAAUUGAACAAUCAUCGGUAUCUGAUGCAGCAUCAUCAUCCUUAUCAUCAUGACUUCCAUUCGACAUUAAUUUUUUUUGUAUGGACAAAUCAGCCUCCUCAUGAUCAUCUAAAUGGGGCCCUUCACUGUUAGAAUCUCCUUGUUGACUCAAUUUACUAAUUUCAAGAUUUGCAAGUCUAACAUUUGGCGGUUCGUAGGAAAUCUUAUUAAAAGAAAGUUGAUGAACCUUCUUUUCCAAGCAUUCCAAACAUUCUGAAAUAUAUUGUUUUUCCUCUUCAAAUUCUAAAAUAGAGGUUUCACCAGCCGCAACUUCAUUACUGCCUUUGGAUACCUCAGACAAAUUUGAAUCGGGGAAAUUAUUUACAGUAUCUGUGAUGUUAUGAAGAUGAAUAUUUUGUGUCAUGACAGUUUCCUCCUUUGAAUCUUUACUUUCCUCAUGCAUAUUGGGGACCAUAGGCUCAUCCAUAAAGUUGAUCCUGUAAUAGUCUAGCUCAGCUUCUAAAUCCUGUAUUUCUUUUUCCUUUUCCGUGAGUAGAUCAUUAACUUUGUCUAAUUCUUCGUUAUCGUAUUCUGCUUGCUCUUCCAUCAUUCUUAAAUAUUGAUGAGCCUCCAUUUGCAAAGACGCCUUCUCUUCCUGUAACCUUGUGAUCAUAGACAUUGCUUCGUUUGCUGCAAUAGCAGAAGCAUUUCUUUCUUCCUCUAGUUCUUUCUGUAAAUCAUCCAUGUAUCUUUUGUCAUACUCAAUUUGUCGCUUCAAUUGAUCAACAAUAGAUUCACCUUCAAUUUCAGUCAUAUUGGUUAAAUCCAUAGAUUCAAGACCAGAUUCCAUUGCCUCGGCAUGUAUCCUAGGGGAGUGAAUGUGGUUUAUAGGAACAAAUGAUGACAUGUUCGACUCAUGGAGAGAAGAAUACUGUGAUGGUGGUGAUAGCUCUAGUUCUUCCUUGACUUUGUCGAUUUCGUUAGAAGGUGAUUGUUCCAUGACAAAACCAGGUACUUCUCUUUCCUUGAUGGAGUCAGAGGACUUACUCAUGUCAUUUGAAUCCUCUUGUGUUGGACUUAGAGGAGCAGAGUCGCAUAGCUCCGGAUCAGUUUGAGUAGAUGCAUCUUCCAUUCUAUGAAUCUUCUCUGAGACUUUUCCAUGCUCUUCGGAUACGAGUCCAUUAUCAGGUGCUUGUGUAACAUGUAGAGCUGGAAACGUUUUAGAAAACAAAUGUUAGACUAUUUCAAAGAAAAAGAAAGUUGAAAUGUAAGGAUAGAGAAUUGUUACAUUUUUCUGGUAAUUCUCCAACAAAUAUGUGAUCCGCUUUCAAAGUCAUAAGCUCAGAUAGGUGAGAAGGAAGAGAUUUCUCAGAAUGAUCAGUAAUCUUACAGUCCUCUGAUUCUGGUUCUCGAUAAACAUGUGAUGGUGAAACCUCAUCUAGUGAAAUGAGCUCAGGGAGGUUAGAACUCGAUGAACUUUGAUCUGCUUGCGGCCGGUUAAUUUCUUCCACACCAUUGUCAUUCCCAUGUUGGCGCAUGUUGACCUCAGGAAGAGGUACGUGUUUGGGAGAACUAGUCUUUGGCAUUGGUGGUUUCAAAUCACUCACAGCAUGUUUUGUAGGUGUUUCUAGCGUAUUUGGAGCUAUGGUAUCAUUUCCAGCUUCAAUUUUUUCAUUAAAUAUACUACCAGUAUCAUCAUCAUCUGAAAAUUGAAACUCAGACUCAGAAUCAGAAGUAAGUCUCAGCACAGUGUAUCCAACAUUAGAUGAUGGAUGAGAACUUCUCCUUCCUCCUGAUUCAGAAGUUUUACCCCUCAUUUUCUUCAAGUUAUCACGAUGAUUUAAACGGCUUUGCCUUGCCGCAUGUGGCAAAGGAAUGUAUGGCUUAACAACAGAUCUCCCAUGCGAUUUUAAUUGGAUAGAUCUAAAGCCAUUCUGUUCUAACUUCCAAAGCUUACCACAACAACUACAUGGCCUAGAUCCCUUAGGUCUGGAAAACAAAUCUCGGCUCAACGGAGUAUUUUGAUAGCCAGAACCACCGAUAACAACACCAAAUUUACCCGACAACAACCUAUGAGUUUUCGUGUUGCGCUUACCAUUCUUAGUGAGUGACAAAAGACAAUCAUCGCACAUCCUAUGACCGUCCGCAAGUUUACCAUGAGUAUGACACAACAUCAUUGACGAUAUUUCUGAUUUGUGAUCGCUGCAAAGUAGGCUAUGAUAAAACUCUGGCUUUUCGCCAUCUAAGAUAUGAUCAAGCCUAGAACAUAACAAACAAGGCAAUUGCAACUUGCAAUAACUUGCAAACUUUUUGACAAGAUAUGAUAGCAAUGAAUCAACUAGCAAUAGGAAUAUCAAAAACCACUCACAAGCCACAAAUGUGAGAUUCUCAGUGAAUCCUUCCCUCCUUUUUGAUUUGACAAAUGAAAUUCCACCUCUUCUACUUGUUGCCAUCUUCAAAUAAAAUUGGUUUACAAAUCCCAAAAGAGAUUUAUAACAUGGAAAUUCAUCAAUCAAAUUCUCAUCCACCCAAAUCAAAUUCCAAAAUAGAUAGAUGAUGUAUCUAUCUACCUAUCAUAAAUCUCAAUGACCUAUGGUUAGAAGGCUGCAACAAACAUGAAAUAAAACAGUCACUAAUCACCAUUAGCUCAAAAAUCAAAAUCUAAGCAAAACACAUUGCAUUUAAUUAUUCACAAUUUUAACAAUCAAGAAAUUUUUAGACAGACCAACCACAACAACAUCAUCAAGCAAAUGUAACCAUCUUAGCAUAAAACAAUAACAACAACAAAAAAAAUCUAUUGAUUAGAAAGAGAGAGGAAACAAAAUAUACUCUUCAAUUUCCAACUACCUUAUAAUAAUUGUUGAGUAACCAUAAACAUUAACAGAAAAUGAAUUUAUACCAACCCAACCGUUACACAUUAUUAUGUCUUAGAUGAUUAUCUACCAAUUGAAAAUUUAAUUAGAAAAAUUAUCAAUAAAAUAAAAUUAUGAUGGAAUCCAUUACAUGAUUAAUUCAUGGAAUACAUAUUUCAAGAGAGAAAAACAACAAAAAUGUGAAAUUAAAUUCUGAUUUAAAUUAUUACAAAUAAUAAUAAUAAUAAAAAGAAAUAAUUAAGAGGCAUGAAUUUUGUUGAUAUUUUAAAUGAAUAAAUGCAGGAAAAUAUGGUUACCUUAUCUGCAAUUUGAUGAGGGGGAGAGAUGAUGAAGUAUAGAGGAAAUUUUUUCUGAUCAGAAAUGGUGAAGAACUUGUCUUUUUUGCCUUAUUUGUUUCGGGAAAAAGGAAUAAAAAAAUAUUAAUAAAGGAAAAAAUUAAAUAAAAUUAAUACAAAGAAAAAAUAUGAAGAAGGUUGUAGAAAUAUAAUAAGGCGCGGAUCGAGUGACCGUUGAAAUUAACGGUUUUUGGUUUGUUUCUUAGCAAAACAUGAAAGUAUGAAAUUGGACAUAUAAUAAUUUUAAUAAUUUUAGAAUUGAUGGUCGAUGCAUAUAUUCAUUUUAAAAGUAACUUAAUUUUCAUUUUUGUGAAAAGUAGUUUGAUUAAAAAUAAGAAUUUAAAUUGUAUAUAUUCCGUGUGCUUGUAUUAAAAAGGUGUUAUAAUCCAUCCUAUGAUUCAUAACAGAAUUAUUUAAAAUGUUUUUUAAAAGGAAAAUCAUUUAAAAUAUUUAAGAAUACAUAUUUGUUGCAUUGAUAGAUUAUGAUGCAUCCUUUUCAUUUUGAAAACAUGCAUAAAUUAAUAUGUUAAAUAAACUAUGAACUGGUAUAACUUUUGAUUGUGUUGAAUAACUAUAAUAACUUUUUUUUUUUUAGUGAAAGGUUGUGUUACAGAUUAUGUUGACUACGAUAAACCGGGUGGCAACUGCGCAGCACGUCCAUUUUACCAAGUUAUUUACAAUCUCUUCUUAGCUUGUGUUUGUGGCAAGAGGAAAAGUACCUUGUUUUGAAGAGACCAGAUAAUUGAGAAUUGGGUUUAGCUCGUCUACUUACUGGUCAUCUGUAAAUAAAAUUGUGGCUUUAUGUGUUUCGGUUAAAAAUCAAAAUAAAUUGAUAUGUUUUAGGAAUGUUAUUGAACUUUGUAGAUCCUCUCUAUUAUUUUUUGUAUAGAGGUGUCUGUAAAAACCAAAUCAAAAUUCAAUUUUUACGUCAAUGUUUUACUGUUUUGGUUUCAUGAGUUUUUGGUGCGUUAAAAAUUCAUAUUUAAUAUGUUCCUUGUCGGACAAUUAUAAUUUUUUGCAAGAGAUGUUUUUAUGUCCUAAACAUGCCUGCAAAAAAUCAUGAAAAAUUAAACUUUUAAGUCACUUUUCCAGACAAUGAAACAUGUUUGAAGGAUAUUGUGCCACACAUUUCUCGAAUUGUGACCCAGCUUAGUAUUACGAUAAUCACAAGAGGGAAAGUACCUUGCUUUGAAGAGACGAUAUACUAGAGAAUUGGGUUCAGCGCGUCUACUCAUAGGUCAAGUUUUGUUCUCCAAACAUGCAGGCAUGUUUAGGACAUCAUAAGGACCUCCACCAUGAAAUUUUGAAGUUAUUUUACGAUGUACGCAUUAUGACCGAAGCUACGAGACUCGAGUAGUAAUCACAAUGUCUUUCAUUAAACAACAUAUUGAGUUAGGGGUAUAUGAUAUAAUGUAUUAGGUCUCGCAACAAUGUUUUGACAUUGUUAAACCCACAUGACCAAGACAAUGUUUGGCUAAGACGAUGUAUGAAAAGAGAAAAAAAUCAAUGGAUUAGUUUGAAAAGAUCAAGGCUACUGUUGUUAGGGAAAGUAACUUGGCAUGAGUUACUACUGGUCCAUAUCCAACUACAAGUCCUUUAAAGGUUUUUAACAACUAGUUUUCUAAUUUUAUAGGGCAAUCAUGACAUGUUCACACGCGGUUAGUACAAUUACGUUGCAUCAUAUCAAUAGGGAUGACAAUUGGACCCCAAACCUUAUGGGUACCUGUAAAAAGAUCCACAAUGGGUAGGGCAAAACCCUGUUUUCAUGGGUCUGGCCUUGAGUCCGAGUAAUUACCCACAAAUUUAAAUGGGUUUGUGCGCAGGUAAGGGUAUUAUAAUGUCCAGUCCUGCAACCUGCAUAUACAUAUUUAUACAAUAUAAUAAAUAAUUUAUUUAUUUUUGGUGUAUAAUUAAUUAAUUAAUUUAGCUAUUUAAGUCUAAAUCUAAACCUAAAAACUACUUAAUAUAGUAAUUGCUCUCUCCUACUAGUGUAUAAUUUUUUAGGGAUAUUUUGAAUAUGUUUUAUCUGGCUAAAUAAUAAGAUUUGUACUAUUUUAUGACUUGAUUUGAAAAAAUUUGGACCAUAAUUUUAUUUUAAUUGUGAUAUUUUUAUUGUCUUUCAUAUUUAAAGUGCGAGUAAUGGAUACACGGGUAUGAGCACUUAAGUACCCAUAGGGUAUGGAGAAGGGCACCAAAUUUGUUGCCCACGAAGAUACGAGCUUGGGUACGGGUAUUUUUUUGUAGACGUGAGUAUGAGGAAGGGCACAUUAGUACCCUACACAUAGAGUACCACUGCCAUCCCUAUAUCAUCGCUCAAAGCUAAUCGAUGACACAACACAUGAGGACGUUUGAUUACACCUAAAAAUAAUUAUCUUUUUAUUUAAAAUUGACAGAUAUGAGAUUCAAGGACAAUGUUCUUGAAGACAAUCCCGUCAAUGACCAUGCUAAUGUUCCUGAUGCAUUAAAUGUUGAUGUAUGUAGGCAUUGACCACCACUUCAAACCUCCUUUAAAUAUCUAUGAUCCUCGAAAUUGAGGUAUUCUUAAUGCUAAAACUAUAAAUAUUUUAUUUGAAAAAGGGUCUAUUAGGAAAUUGAAUCUCACAUUUUCAUAGUCUUUCUAGGCAUUUUCCAUAUUCUUACUCUAAACAUGUGGAUAAAAUAUAUGGUUUUUUUAUUGUAUAUUGAUGUAAACACAAUUAUUAAUGAUUUUGCAUCUAGAAAUGUUCAUUAAAAUUGUUUUGUAUGAAUACACAUAUAAUUAAUAAAAAACUCAAUGUUUUUCUUUACGAAGUAUAAUGUCUUUAUUAUUAGAUUAUUUCUUAAGCACUGCCAAAAAAAAGAUUAUUUUUUAAUGUAAUUAAGAUGCCUUCUAACAAAUUAUCUUCACAAUUUGGGAAUUCAAAUUUUUUAUACUACUUGUUUGAUUGUGUACAAAUUAUAGUUUCACUCUAAACCACGAAAAUCUCAUAAAUGGAUAUGGUAUUUUCCACACUUGAAUCAAAUUGUCACAUCAUAUUUGAAUUAAUUUGUUUUUGAAAUUUAUCGAUCAAGUAAUAAAAAUUAGUUUAUACAUGACGUAAGAUUUGUCUUAUUCAUGCAUAUGAACUAAUGUAAUUGGAAUGUUGAGUAGUUCAAUUGGGAAUGACACUUGAGUGACUUUUGUAACUUUAGUGUAUUUUAGAGGAAUGAGAGUGAUGAUUGAAUGAUUAAAAUAAACUAUUUUGAUGUGAGAAAAUUAUUGGUUAGGAGAGAGACAGAGACAAAGGCACCCAAGUGCUACCCGUUCAAUUUGAUGGCACUUCAGUGACGAUGUGUUGGGUGACUAUUUGAGUUAAUGAUUAAGAAGUUGGAGGUAGAUAGUUUAAGUAACAACUAACAUACUAAUAUUUGUCGUUAAAACAAACUAAUAAGAAUUAAUGUAACUAACAAAAAAAAAAGUUAAAUAUGUUGUUGGUCUCUAUAAAUAUGUCAACUUUUUGUUUAGUCACUCUAAAAAUUUCCUUAGACUUUUAGUCAUAGGGAAAAUUUUCAAUCAUCACUUUUGGUCUCUAUUUUUAAGUCAACUCAUGUACGAUCUUUAUAUUUUUUUAAUAAAUUUAUGCAAAAAUGUAUAGAAUACUCUAAAAAAAAUUUAGAUUAUUAUAAUAUUAAAAACAUAAAUUCUAGGUACGAGAUUACGGUGGAUUCUAGGGUGAGGGUCCAAUUAGGUCCCUCACCGGUGGACUACGAGAAAAAUACCAAUAGAUUAAACAAGUGGUUCAGAUUUAUUUAAAUUAAAAGUGGGAACAUGUAGAGCUGCUCACAUUCAAUCAGAUCCUCUAAUAGUUUCACACCUUAUGUACGAUUCGUGUAGUAUUCUUGGUUUAUAAUCAGAUAACUGCUCUUCCCCUCAAACCAUCAAAUUUGAAAACCAAACUAUAUGAACCCUAAAAUUAAAAAUUAAAAUCUUCUUCUUCUUCAAACACCAGUUCCCUCUUUUCAGUCCAAGAUCAAACUACAAAUCAAAAUCAUCAAAUUGAAAGCUCUCACUUGCGGCGUUUGGUGAAGUGAGGGAGUCGACGUCAUCUCUGAUUCUUUACUUAGCCACUCAGACUCGGUGAGUUUAGCUUUUCCUUAUCUUCAAAUAUGGUUUUGAAUUUGGGUUUCUAAUGUGAAGGAGAGAUUGAGCGCCAAAUUGGGUUUCCUUUUAUCCCUUUUUAGUUUUAAUUUCCGGUUCUUGUAAUUUCUUGUACCUUUUUUUUUUUUUUUUUUGCUUCAGACCUUUGUAAUGCUGAGAAUUUAGAAUUAUUGGGAUGUGUUGAUGAUUCUUUGUGAUUUUGGAAUUUACCUUUCACCGAGGUUUUGAAUUAUGUGCUAUAUAUCUUGAUGAGUUACUUGUAGUUGCUAGGGAUGAGUCAUGCAAUUACCAUGUAUUGUGCACAUGCUUCCCAUUCUGUUAACAAGUCUAUAUUUUGUACUUGCAUGAUUAUGAAGAUAGGCAAUGAAUUAAGCAUUGAUGAGUUAGUUCUCUUUUUACUUUCUGCUAUUAUAGUACCUUAAAUUCAUUCAGAGACUCAUAUUCACACACACAUUCAGCCAAAUACAUAACAAGUUCGGAAAUUCUGUGUUUUGAUUUAUGAAGCCCGAUGUUAAUAUUAGAUACGACGUUGGUGAAAGUGAACUAUUUGAAUAUAACCCCGUAUGUUUAUGUCGACACUGACAUGUCUCAUGUUCAUCUUGUGCUUGAGUUUAAGGUUUGGUUUGUGAUUUGUAAAUUUUUGUUUUGAAAAUAACAUGGAUGCCAUAAUAUGUGUAGGGCAAUAGAAAAGGAGCAUCGGUACAUUUAACUGAACAGUGAAAGGUGACAUUUUUGUUUGAACGUGUUUGAGAUGGAAAAUAAUGUUGAAGAGAAUAUGCAGAUGGAUGAAUCUGUUGCAUCCGUGGAGGUAUAAGAAAUUUAUUAAAUACCAAUAUUAUUGUAUUUUCUUCUUGGUACAUAUAUUGAAGCUUUGUUUGUUGCGGCAGGGACUAGAAGGCUUGUCAACUGGGGUAACUGACGAAGCAACAUUUGAGAUUGAUGACGACGAUGUUGUUAGUGUUGAGGCUGGGGAAGGUAGCGAAGAAAUUAUAUAUAUUGAUAACAAGGAGGAUAUUCUUUGCAUGGACCUGAAGGGAACAAGUCCCCAUGAGACAAGGAAAUUUGAGUUUUCAAGCUUGGAUAUGGCUUAUGAGUUCUAUAAUUGGUAUGCUAGAAUGAAUGGGUUUGCGGUCCGCAAGAGCAAGAUGAUUAAAAGCAAUAAAGGGGAAAUAUUACAGCAAACCUUUGUCUGCCACAGACAAGGGUUUAGGGAGGAUAGAGGUUUAACAAUAGAAAACCGUAAGCGUGAGUGUAAACCCAAGACUCGGUGUGGAUGUGAAGCAAAAUUUCGGGUGCAUAUAGAUAUGUUCUCACAACGUUGGUUGAUAACUGUUUUUACUGAUCAACACAACCAUGAGCUUUUAGAUGAAGAGUACCAUGGAAUGCUUGCUGCACAUCGAAAAAUGAAAGAGUCGGAUAUAAUGCAGAUGAACGACAUGUUGAAGGUUGGGAUAGGGCCGUCUCAAUUCUAUAGUUCUUUGGCAAACCAAUCAGGAGGGUAUGAAAAGAUAGGGUUUCGAAAGAAGGAUAUAUAUAAUCAAAUAGGAAAGCAACGUCUUUUGAAACGGUGUGAUGGUAAAAAUGCUUUACAAUAUCUUCAUGGGCUGGCAUCAAAUGACUCGUUGAUGUUUUAUCGCCACACCGUUGACGGAGAAGGUAGGCUUGAACACCUGUUUUGGUGCGACGGUAUUAGCCAAAUGGAUUAUGGUGCUUAUGGUGAUGUGUUGGCAUUUGAUGCAACAUAUGGAACGAACAAACGUCAUGUUAAGUAAAAUUGUAAUGAUAGAGUCAACGUUGCAUAAGCCAACAAAAAUCGGCGGACUCAACUUGAGUCAAGGAUCUCCCCCAACAUCAAAAAGAAGCAAAAAUGUGGUUUCUGAACAAAAGUUUGUUGCUAAGUCUCCAUUUAGCCGUUCCAAAUCUUUGUCAGAACACAAUGUCGACAAUGUUAUCCUUUUACCGGACGAUGAUGAAAUAGACAAGAAAGAAUCAAAAACUACUUCUAACAUUCAGUCCACCUACUUGAAGGGAAGCACAAGCAAGGUACCAACCAUUUUUAAAAAUCAAUUUAUAACAAGUAUGCUAAAAUGAUUAUAUUGGUAGUAACAAUUUCUAAAUUGUCAUAGAAGAAAAACAAGUUUUCUUCAACAAUGUCAAGAAGAUUGUCCUUCUCAACCUUACCCACGGGGAGACAUUUUAAGUCUCCUAAGUUAGAUAUCAAGGAGGCUAACAUGAUGUCUAAGGGGAACAUAUAUCACUAAAUUAUAUUUUUAUUUUUAUUUUCUCACAUCGUAUAUGUAAUCAAUUUCUAAUUAACAGUUUGUUGAGACCAACUUUGUUACGACAUCAAAAAUGAAACUCCAACCUGUGGAAGAACAUGUUUCAUGUUAUGUUUUUCAUUCCAAGAAUGAUCUAAGGUAUUGAUUUUGAGGCAGUAAUCAUUUUCAAAUUUCAUGUUGACAAAUAAUGGCAUCAUAUAUAAUUUUAAAUUGUUUUUGAUGCAUGUAGUGAGGAAUUGUUCAAGGUUGAAACCCUCAUAGGCUCACGAAGUGAAUUUCAGACUCUAUGUCCUGGAAGAAUAGUUUACACUGAGGUAAUUUAAUUUUACUUACAAGACCACAACUUUUAAAAUAAUUGUUUGCAGUCAAGUAAUAAUACUAUUAAAUGAUUGUAGAUACUUGAGAUGAUGUCCGCUAAGGUGACAUGGAUUGAGAGGAACGUUGAUGUACCAAGUAUAUGGUCACUCCCCCCCUCAUUUGUGGUAUGUAUUUGUUAGUGAUAGUAAUUAAACUAUUAUAUGCUUAUUCAUGGUAAGACAAACUAGAUUUUUACAUUAUUCUUUUUAUGUUUUGUAGAGAGAUGCAUUCCGUCGUAAUACAAUUGAAGAGCUAAUCGAGAAGUAUGGGAAAAAUUGGAUGCCUCCAAUUGAAAACCUAAAGCAUGUAUGAAUUUAUUUUCAUUACGCGUUAAAUUUCCAAUAAACAUAUUAUGAUACAAUUUGAUGUGUAUAACCUGACAUACUAUAAUCAUUUCAACAGAUUUAUUUGCCAAUUUAUGAUUGCGUUGGCAAUUGGUUUCUUAUGGUUGCAUCCAUUGAUGGCCAAAUUUUGUACCACCUAGAUCCAGGUUUUGAGAAAAGAAAUAUAAUCCCUAGACAAGACGACAUUAAGAAAUUGGUAAGUACUUGACACUUGUGAUAGUUUGUAUUUGAACCUUUCGUUAAUUUAUUAUCUUAUUAUGUUUUACCAAUUUUGUAGUGGCAAAUUAUUAGUGAAAUGGUACAAACCAUGGUUCAAAGUGAACACUUUCCACCCCACUUUCUAUGUGAAGUGCAGCACAUAGACAAUUGGGAUAUGGCCGAGUCUGUAGGACUUGUUUCUGAAGGAUUUUGGUAACAAAAUAUUCAAUUUAUUUUAACUAUUGUAUAUUCACUUUCCAUUUAUAUACACUCCUUUGAAUCACAUGUGAUACUUGUACAUUUUAAAUAAACAGUCAACAUUCUGCUGUUUGGGUCUUACAAUGGCUAGCAAUGGGUUCAUCUUUUACACCUAACAUACAUGUCGUGGUGGGUAUCAUGAAGUUAACAUAUUCAAUUAUUUUUGUAACAUAAUCAAUUAAGUCUUUGCAUCAGUGCUGAUAUUAUCAAUUAAUUUUACAGAUGAAAGAAGAUGUUGUUAGAAUGAAGGUGGCGGUUGAUUUGUUGUUGGGUGAGCAUAAUGAAUAUAAAGACAUCCUGGUGGAGAAAGCUGAAAAAGCGUGGCACGAUAUGAACAAUGUCGAGCAAUCAAAAUAUUUCAACUAAUUUUUUUUCUUCUAGGAUAUUGUAGGCAUGUCUACAAUAGCCACUCGCAUUAGAAUCAAAUUAAUUUGUAGGAACUUUCUUCUAUGGUUGCUUCCUUUUGUUUUUUGAUUACUUUGGUUAGAUUUGUUUAAUGUUGUUUAACACUGCACUCUUUUUUCCUUCAAGGUUUUUAACGAGGCAGUUGUUUUUAUUUGUAUUGAUCGUUUAUUUGGAUAUUGGCCUAGUCGCCCAAGCUUUUGUUAUUUUUUUAUUAUAUUUAUGGAGUUGCCUUGAUUAUUUAUUUUUGGCAUUGCUUCUAUCUCAACCUUUUAUUUUCCUAUCUGCUUUGUAUUUUAUAAGGAGUGUGAGUUGUGUUUGAUGAGUGAUCUCCAUUGGUCUAAUGUGUCUUGGCCACUGGUGUAGCUUAAUUGGAAUGGUUAUGUCCUUAAGACUUUGUAUGUGAUUUUCUGUCCAAGUUCAGGUAAAUGACAUAGUUGAUUCUCUACAGCCGUUCAUAGAAGGUAGGUAAAUUUUUUCAUUGUGAUGCUCAAUUUGGACUUUAUUACAAAACAUCAGUCUAGUAGAUAGUAAGCCAUGAUGAAAAUAUGAUUAGCACUACUAAAUAGAUCACCUGAUUGUAGGCUAUAUAUACUUUGUUGGCAUAAAGUACUUUGCUCCUUGGACAUAAACUUAAAAGUGUUGUGUUACGAUCGUUAGUAGAGACAUAUGAUAUUAAUUUUCAGUCUUUAUGGUGAUCGUCUGUUGUUGGCAGCCGGGUUUUGGUAUUGUAGUGGCCUUUGUUGUUUUUGUGGUUUUCGAUCUUUGGCAGGGGCGCUUUUUUUCCUGCUAUAUAUUGCCGGUUUUUCUUUUUUGCCUUGUGUUGUAGUGCUGUUGUGGUUGGCUGCCAGCGGCCUUUAGUAGGUGUAUGUUUAUGUUUUUUGUUCUUAGUUUUGGCAUUGUGUAUUUACUUCUGAUUUGGUCCAGAAUACAAACACUUGUGCAAUUGAUUGAUUUUGCCCUGUUCUCUCUUUCCAAAAGGAAAAGGAAUUGACAAUUGAAGAUAACAAGAAACUACUUUGUAUGUGAUUUUCCGUCCAUGUUCAAGCAAAUGACAGUGUUGAUUCUCUACAACCUUUAAUAGAAGGUGGGUAGAAUUUUUCACUGUGAUGCUCAGUUUGGACUUUAUUACAAAAAAUCAGUCUAGUAGAUAGUAAACCAUGAUGAAAAUACGAUAAACACUACUAAAUAGAUCACCUGAUUGUAGGAUAUAUAUACUUUGUUGGCAUAAAGUACUUUGCUUUGUGGACAUGAACUUAAAAGUGUUGUGUUGCGAUCAUUAAUAGAGACAUAUGAUAUUAAUUUUCAGUCUUUAUAGAGUGUUGUUAGUUUUCAAUUUGUUCGUGCACUACAUAUAUACUACAAAAUAUGAACUUUAUUUUGUUCAACCUGAAGUAUUCAUAAAGAAAAGGGCAAAAAUAUAAAAUAAAGCGAUAUCAGUAGAAUGUGCUCAAUCUCUAUGCAUUGAGUAUAAGUUGAGGCAAUAUUAAAUAUUAAUAAGGUACAUAUUAACAAUAAUAGGAUGCAAUUCGAUAGAAACUGAGACACAAUAUAAAGUAGGUACAAUAGAAAUUGUGUCAAUCCUAGAUACAAUUAGUUAUCUUCCACAAACUCUAGAGUAGUUUGAGGGCUGGUGCAAUUAUCAUGCAUGUGUUGAUCUUUUCCAAUUCUAUCCAGCACAAUAUGUGUAGUAAUUACUUGGUAUCUGGUAUAAAGUCCUGAGCCAUUUUGAGAAUAACUUUCACUGCUCUUCCUUUUCCGCUUUCCGCUCGCCCUUCCAUGAGUUGUAACAAUACAUCAAUUGUCUUCUUAUUUCACUGGUUUUGAAUAAGAUCAAUUGUUUCGUAACAAUAUCAAUGCAUGUUACUCUAUUGUCGAAUUAUUUUAAAAGCUUCUUUUGUAGCAUAUGGCAGCCCAGUCUUUGGAUCACGGUACCUGUAUCAAAAGAGAACCUUAACAACAUUUGAGGUACAGUAGGAAUAGACUAAGGAAAAUCUUCUAGAUGAACUACUGGAAAUCAGUGACAAUCACAACAAUACACAAGAGUCGAUAUGAUGUAAUCAGGAAAUCAAGUUCGGGCAGAUAAGAAAAUAGAACGGCAAAAUAAAAAAAAACUGAAGAUGCACAGAAAAGUAACCUAGACAUCAGACCUAAAGUUUGUCUACAUAAGGCAAAUUUUGAUGCAUAACGUAUAAAACUCAUCAAUGAUUAUUCUAUCAAAGGAAAACAUAACCAAACUUUAAUUAAACUACAUCACUUGUUCUCUAAAGAUCUGAAAUCUUAAUCCCAUAAAAACUUGGAGACUUAGACUUCCUACCGCCAAAAAAUGCAAGUUCCAAUAACAUCUUAAUCACAAAAAUACAACAAUUGAAGUUAGAGUGGAGCAUAUUCAUAACUCAUCAAUGCUUAAUUCAUUGCCUAUCUUCAUAAUCAUGCAAGUACAAAAUAUAGACUUGUUAACAGAAUGGGAAGCAUGUGCACAAUACAUGGUAAUUGCAUGACUCAUCCCUAGCAACUACAAGUAACUCAUCAAGAUAUAUAGCACAUAAUUCAAAACCUCGGUGAAAGGUAAAUUCCAAAAUCACAAAGAAUCAUCAACACAUCCCAAUAAUUCUAAAUUCUCAGCAUUACAAAGGUCUGAAGCAAAAACAAAAAAUAAAGUAUAAGAAAUUACAAGGAACCGGAAAUUAAAACUAAAAAGGGAUAAAAGGAAACCCAAUUUGGCGCUCAAUCUCUCCUUCACAUUAGAAACCCAAAUUCAAAACCAUAUUUGAAGAUAAGGAAAAGCUAAACUCACCGAGUCUGAGUGGCUAAGUAAAGAAUCAGAGAUGACGUCCACUCCCUCGCUUCACCAAACGCCGCAAGUGAGAGCUUUCAAUUUGAUGAUUUUGAUUUGUAGUCUGAUCUUGGACUGAAAAAGGGGAAUUGGUGUUUGAAGAAGAAGAAGAAGAUUUUAAUUUUUAAUUUUAGGGUUCAUAUAGUUUGAUUUUCAAAUUUGAUGGUUUGAGGGAAGAGCAGUUAUCUGAUUAUGGAGGAAGAAUACUACACGAAUCGUAUAUAGGAAAUGAAACUAUUAGAGGAUCUGAUUGAAUGUGAGCAGUUCUCCAUGUUCCCACUUUUAAUUUAAAUAAAUAUGUACCACUUAUUUAAUCUAUUGGUAUUUUUCUCGUAGUCCACCGGUGAGGGACCUAAUUGGACCCUCACCCUAGAAUCCACCCGAGAUUACAUAAAAAAAAUGGAAUCAAAAGCAAAAAAUAAAAACUUUUAAAAGAUUAAAAAUCAAAUAAAUUUUUUAGAAGGAUUGAAACCAAAAAUUGAAAUAUUUAUAGGAAUAAAAACAUGAUUUUUCUUUCCUAGUUCUAUUCGAUUUCACCACCAUUCCUUGUUGUUGGAUGUAAUUGUAACCCAAUCCAUCCAUAUGUUGAAUCAAUUGCUUUAAGCUUUAUAGUUUCCUCAAAUUCAACCUAACAGAAGAUCCCCUGAGAAAACAGAAUAUACAUUCACAUCAAAGUUGAUGAGGCCGAGGGUAAGACUGAGACAUUUCAACAUUGAAUUUGCUAUAUUUCAUUUUCUUUAUCUGUAAAAUGUUUAUUAUAAUUGCAUUUUAUUGUUUCAUUGUGAUCAGUGGCUAGGAAGUGUUAGAAGCUACGCGAAGCAUCUUCGCAUUGAUGGAGUCAAAGAUACCAUAGCUAUUGCUUCCGGUAAAGGCGGUGUCGGCAAGUCCACAACUGCUGGUAAAAACUCCUUCAAUUUUUCCGGAGUAGGCCCUUUUUGGAUUAACAGGUUGAUUUGCAGCUUAUAGCAUAAACACGCUUAUGAAUAAGUUGUUUCAUUUUUUGUAUAAGAUAUAAGCCUAUGUUUGGUUCCAUGUUUGAAGUACCCAAAAUUGACUCUAGAGGUGUAAAAUUGAUUUUGAUAGGUUUGGUUGGUUUUGAGUAGAAUUGGUUUUGAGUUUAAACGUGAUUUUUACGCUUAGGCUUUGUUCGGUAAAGAACAGCGGAUAACUGAUAAGUUAGCUUGUAGCAGAUGAGCUUAUAGUUGAUGACUUAUAAGCUAGCUUAUAGUUGAGAGCAAAUAAGCUAGCUGAUUGAAUUUGUAGUGUUUGAUAAAAUUAGCGAUUGAAAUAGCAUAUAAAUAUGAAAUGACAAAAAAAUGUAUAUUUAAUUAAUAUUUAUUUUUUUCAAUUAAGAUUGUAGGGGUAAAAUUGAGAUAAAAAUUGAUAGGCUAUAAGCUACUUGAAUUAUCUUAUCAAAAAAAGCUAUAAGCUCAUAAAAUUAAGUUAUAUUAACUUGUGAGAAAAUGACAAUUACCAAACAGGUCUUUUUCAGUCAUACGAGAUUAUAAGCAAUAAGCCAUAAGCUCAAAUAUGUGUCUUACCAAACAGGCCCUUAAAUUUAUUGCUCAACCCACUUUUGCGUAAAUGUAUCUGAACAGAAACCACUUUACAUUCUUCUCAAUAAAAUCAAUUUUGCAAAAUUAAUUAACUAAUUCAAAAUCUAAUUUUUGUCACCGCAGAACUAAACAUGUGCUUAGUUGUUUUCAUAAGCUACCCUGAUGAACUUAUGGAAAUAAGCUGAAAACAACUGAUGAACAUGUCAUAAGAUGUUUUCAUAAGUUGUCUCGGUCAGUGUUAUAAGUGUUUAUGUCACUAGAUAAGCUCAAAACUCAAAUAAGUUGAUCCAAACAGGCUAUUAUUAGUUGAGCUUUAUUGAAAAUGAAUUAAAAUGAGUUGAUUUGAAUUUGUAGUGAAUUUAGCUGUUGCGCUUGCAAGUAAGUUCCAGUUGAAGGUUGGGUUACUUGAUGCUGAUGUGUAUGGACCCAACAUUCCUAUCAUGAUGAACAUCGACACAAAGCCUGAAGUCACACAAGGUAUAUCAUUCAAUAUUUCUCUAUAAUAUACUGGUACAGACACAAAUAUGGACACGGCGCUUACACGUAGUCAUUGCUAAAAAUAAUUGAGAAAAUGAAUUUGAUUGAAUGUAACCAACAGCUGUCGAUGUCCGACACUCUUAUGAAACUGACACAUAGACAUUGCUAAAAAAAAUUGAGAAAAUGAAUGUGAUCACACAUGUCGGUUUCGUAGGAGUGUUGGAAACUCGGGCACAACUUUAACCUAAACUGUCAAUGCUACAUAGAUAUUUAUUUAUUCCCACUUUAACUUUUUCUGAGAAGUAUUCAUCUUCAAUGGCAUUGGAUUUCUACAUGUGUGCUUUUAGGCAUUGUGUUAUGUUAAAUGAAAAGCAUCAAUAUCAAACAAAGUUUGCUUUCCACUCACAUUUAAGCAAUUUUAGUGACAAUGUUAAAGCAAUAGGAUUUGUUUGAUUGUUUGUCUUCUAGAUGUUAGUCAUGUUAUAUGAUUAACUGUAAAAGUAAAACACUAACUGCUACUUAAUUAACUUCUCAGGUAUUCUGAGUUUGAUAAACUUAUCCAUAUGUAAUAUUUGCUGAUUAUCAUAAAUGGCAAUGCUCUGAAUAAGGUAGUUUUAAAUCAUCCACUUCAUUUGUUUUUUGGAUUGGAUGGAACCCAAUACAUAACUAGAAGAGGAGUACGAGCAAUACACUUUUCUCAACACAUGAUAUUUUUAGGAGUGUGUUGCUGUCAUUUCUCAUAACUACAAUUGUUCUGUUUUUCUUGUCUGCUUUUAAAAACAUUUUCUUUGUUUUAAAAUUGCUACUUCUAGAUAACAUAAUUAUUAAGCAUUGUUUUAUGGCUAAGUUCCUUUCCAUCUUCCAUUGCAGUUCAUGCCAAUAAUUUUCUGUUCGCGUAAUUUCAGAUAAUAAAAUGAUUCCAAUUGAUAGUUAUGGGAUCAAGUGUAUGUCAAUAGGGUUCCUUGUGGAGAAGAAUGCCCCGAUUGUCUGGAGAGGCCCCAUGGUAUGCAUGCAGCUGUAAUUUCUGAUUUCCCUUGAUUGGUCUCCUUUUCACUUUCAUUAACUUAUUUAUUGUUUUAACUGCCUUCUACAACUUUAGUUCUUAGUUAUUGAAACAUAUCGCAGAGGUUUUUUAUUUGAAUUUUUAUUGCUGGAUUAUCGUAGGUAUCAAAAGCUCUUGAGAAAAUGACAAGGGGAGUUGACUGGGGGAACCUUGACAUUCUGGUGAUAGAUAUGCCUCCUGGCACCGGUGAUGUGCAAAUAUCUAUGUCUCAGAAUCUGCAACUAUCAGGUAGCUAACAAUUUAGGAAUCUGGAAGAUAGUUCUAGUUGGAUGCUUUUUGGGGGAUCACCUGUGGUGAUGUCUAAUGCAAAACUUAGCCAAACAGCUUGGACCUUUACUUUGUCUAGAUUUUGGCAUUUUAGUCUUUUUUAUUCUUAUCUACCUGAUAUAUUCAAUAAAUCCAUAAAGAAGGUUAUGCUAGGUCUAUUUGUAGUCUGUACUAUGCUCUGUAAAUUCGAAAGUGUUCAAAUAUCGGCAUGGCGGUGCCAUGACAGAUUGUGGUGGUAGAUUUUUCGACAACCACCAUGGCCAAUUUUGAAGGAUGGCGUCGUCAUGGCGUUUUAUGGCAGCUUAAAAUGAUGGGCUUUUGGCUUUCCACCAUCUGCAAUCAAUAACACUGAUUCAGAAUGAAAACUUUUUCAGUAGAAUUUUAAUUGAGUCACGAUCAUUAAAAGGUAAAAUACAUUUUUUAUGUUCAAAGAAAUCAAUCACGGAUAAAAUUGAACUAAAGUGUCGUAAUAUUGGAUAUUUUGUGCUAUCACCAAAUUAUUAAUUGUCUUUUGAAAUGACCUUUCUUAUCAAGUUUCCAUUCACUUAACCUUUUUCAUUGGUUAUUUUUGUCAUGGCUUCGUCUAUGGUAGGUGCACUGAUUGUUUCAACUCCUCAAGAUGUUGCAUUAAUGGAUGCAAGGAGGGGAGUACAAAUGUUCAAUAAAGUUGAUAUUCCGGUAAAAUACUCGCUUGGCAUACUUUUUCUUACCUGAUUAUGAGUUUUUGUAAAUUGGAACGUAUGCUAAUGUUGAGCAAUUCAGUAUGUAUGCUGUGCUAUACUAAGAUACACCAUACACUACUGGUUUAAUUCAACUUGUCAAUCAUGCUGCAAUUACCAAUUAUUAUUCAAUUGGACUAUUGCCUCAUGGUCAUGGGGAUUCAUCCCAAUUGUUUUUCUAAGAAAAAAUGUUUAUAUUGUCAUGCUAAAAGUGCAUUGUACCAUUAAUGCAUCUGGCAUGGAUUUUUUGUUAUCUAGUGGCUAUAUGGCCUCCAACCUCUUUAGGUUGGUUGAAAUCCCAAUUAUGCUGAAUCAGGAGAUUGCAUUUUGUCGGAAUCAGAGCUUAGGAGUUGCUGCAAUGCAUUUAGAAAUCCUAAUGGCUCAUUUCACUUUAUUGUUUAUGUUACUAAAAUUAGUUUGAUUAUAUAUGUAAACAUACCCGGUCUCAAAUGAUGUGGAACUGGAAGUAUAUUCAUAUGUGCUUCUAUGAUAUGUUUUAAGGCAUUUGUUUUUAUUUAUUUCAUGGAACUUGUUUGUCCAAUAUGGGUUGCUGAUAAUGAUAUUUGUGAUGCCUGCAUUGAUAUAUCAGCCAUUUCUUUUUCUUAUUUGGUGUUCACAUGUCAUCUGAAAAGUAUAAGAAUGCAUCCUAGCUUUGAUGUCUGUUAAUCUGAGAACUCCAAUUGUCCUUACAGAUUUUGGGAAUCAUAGAGAAUAUGAGCUGCUUUAAGUGUCCACAUUGUGGCGAACCUUCAUAUAUAUUUGGUAAAGGAGGGGCUCAUAGCACAGCCACUGAAAUGGGAUUAAAUUUUUUGGGCGAGGUAUGCUGAUUAUCUGUAUGUAAACUGUACUUUUUAAAUUAUAAUUUUGCAGAUCACCGGACUCUAUUGAAGCAAGCAAUUGAACACAGACUUGUAAUAUAUUUUUUAUUUGUAAAUGACUAAGUUAACAACUGAUCAAUUUUUUACUCUUUUCUUAGAUGUUACUAUAAAAGUUAUCUUUGUGCUUUAGCAAUAUCGGUGUUUUAACUAUCUAAUGAGUAAAGCUAAUCCUAAAUAAAAAAACUAAAUAAUGCCAGGGGGAGAGGGAACUAUUUCUGUGUCUUUGAAAAAAAAGUUUUACCCAAAUUAAUUAAGAAAGACAUAGGUAAUUUGAAGUUAUUGAAUUUGAGAGAACUAAUUUUUGAGAUUGAGGUGUUUAAAGUCCAACAUUAUCUUUUUCUUCAAAAUGAAAUUUAAGCUAGUCCCUAUAAUUAUUUUUUUGUUUUAUUGGGGGUGGUGAUACACACAAGCAGUUUGGCACAUUCUUUAGAUUGUGCUGUGCUAUUGCUGUAUCUUUCAUGGGAGACUUGGUAGACUGUUAAGUUUAUUCGGGGGGGUUGAUUUUACACAUUGAGAAGAGCAUUUCUCUUAAUUUACUGUAAUAUUUGUGGCUUAAAUUAUUGAUAAACAGCACAACCUCUAUUCCCGGUAUUAAGUGGGAUUGCAAAAUUUAUCUAUUGAGUAUUCUGACAAGUUUUUGUUUAUCGAUUAAAGGUACCGCUGGAAGUGGAGAUCAGGGAAGCUUGUGAUCAAGGGCACCCGAUAGUGUUGGCCGCACCUGAUUCAGUAGUUUCUAGAGCAUAUGGAAAUAUAGCUGAAAAGGUUGUUCAGAAACUCAAGGAGAAACAAUUUCAACCAGAGAUUUUACUAUGAAAUGUUUCACUUUGCCGUCAUAACACUCCAGUCCCUGAGGAAGAAAAGAGGACCGGGCUGAUUCCCUUAUGCUGUUUAUACGGGGUUUGCUUACUUUUAAAUUUUGUUGAAAUUGUAGUAUAAUAUAACAUGUAGGCCUCACAUAUGAUUUAGAUUUGUAGAUUCAAGUAUCUUCAAUUUUGUUUAAUAAGCAGUUAGAGGUUCUUCGUCGUCAUAGGUGCUGUCAAAUUAGCAGUUUAAUUUAACUUCAAUAUUGAGCUUACAUAAAAUUGUUGCUUCCAGAAGGGUUUUGUUAUGCCAUUCCUUAAGUUAUAAGGUUCUUUUUUUAUUUUUAUUUUUUUGUGGUUGAGUUGGAUGCAUUGUGGAGAGGUUAUCGUCUUUAGGAAGAGCAAUACAUUUCAAAGAGAUUUAUUCUUGACCUGGUAGAUGUGGUAGCUUUUUUUCGUGUGGUGGCGGUAUGUGAGAUGUAUUCUUAUAAUAUAAGAUAUGAAAAUAAGGUGGUUAUAUAAUGACUCCUCAAAGUGGUUGUCUUUUAUGAUGACAACUUAGCUAUUUGAUUGGGAUUUACCGGCUUGGUUUGGUUUGGUACUGUAUUGUCCUAAACUUCUGUUUCCACUAUCCAAUCAUUUGAAAAAGCAGACUGAAUUGUAAGCCACAAUUUUUGGGAGAACUUGGAAAAUUAUACUACUUGCAUUGUACUCGUUUCUACUUUUGAUAGUGCAUGUUAGAACGACAUCUGACGAGUAUGCCAUAAUUUGAAAAGGCAGACUGAAUAGUAAGCCACAUUUUUUUAGGUACAUCUGACGAGUCACGACGAGGGAUUCAUAAGUGGGGUAGUAGUGCCAUGUAACCAAAUCGAUUUAUACUUCGGGUCAUGCUAACUAAUGUCUUUGGGACACCAGCACUUUUUAUAUUUUUAAAAGUUUGACUACACAUAUUUUAAAAUACACAUUUUAAAAUAAUUUUGCCAUAUUUGCUUUCUUAAUUAGUUUAUCAUGGGUACUAGUUAGCAUUUUCCUUAUAUUAAUUGCUACAUGAUAAUAGUUUAACUUGCUCGAGAGUGGACGAUGGUUUGGGCUAUUUUUUACUCAUUCAUAUGUACUACCUCCUAUCCUUAUUAUAGGAAAAAGAUAGGUAGACCACUCUAUGUUUACACUCCUUUGUAUCACUGCUGAUGUGGCAGAGGUAGUUUGGUAAUUUCACACAAUAGGGGUAGUUUGGUAGUUUCAUUCACAACCACACAAUCUUCUCUUCCUAUUCUCUGUGGCCUCACCACCACCGUUGAUGUCGUUAUGUCAUCACCACCACCGGCCUCACUAAAUCGCAACCCCAUCUCCAUCGCCAUCGUUCUGUCACCUCCAUCAACUCCCACAACCGAAUCACAAAUUCUUCUUCUUCAUCACCGUCGUUUGUCCAUCACCACCUCCAUGCAUUUUGGUUUGCAUUCUAGAUCUGAUGUUUUUGAUUUCCUUCUUGGCGGCGGUGAGAUUUAUGUCGAUGGUGGUGGUGGAUGUUCGAGGUCGAAGGCGGACAGAGGUUGUUAGAUCUGAUGGCGACGGUGGUGCCGGUGAAGUUUGAGGGUGAUGACGGCGACGGUGGUGGUGAGCUUUGGGGGUGAGAACGGCGACAACGGCGGUGGUGAGAUUUGUGGUUGAAGAUGGAGGACGACGGUGGGCGGUGGGGGCCGAUGGUGGUUCCGAUGAGGGAGAAGAAAGAGAGGUCUGAAGAAGGAAUUGUUUCACUGUUUUUAUUUUAUUUUAUUUUUGGAUUCCCACAGUAAAAGGAGGCUACGUGUCGCAUAUUGGUGUGGAGAUCAAUGUGUGUACGCCACUUAAGGUGGUUCACCUAUAAGAGCUGUUAUUAUAAGAAGAAAAACAGAAGAAAAAAAAACCAUCAAAACCAAUAUAGUCAUUAAUUGUUGUAAUUUUUUAAAUAUGUUAACAAAUACAAUCUUAUAAAAAGUUUUAAAACAACUUGAUCUUAUAUGCCGGUAAAUAUUUUUUAGAUCUAAUAGAUUAAAAAAAAAUAUUAAAAAAUUUCUUAUAUUAAAGAUCGGAGGGAGUAUAUUGAAAAUAUUUUUGAAUGAUAUAAAUAUAAAUAUAAUAAAUAUAAGCUUUUGCAAGCAAUUGUCACUUGAUAAAAUCAAUUUAUAUUUUAUAGCACUUGUCAAAAAAAAUUAUAGCAAGUUUGAGUAAAGUUUAUCUUUUUAUCUCUUUUAAUUAUAGAAAUAAUUUUAAUCUAAGAAAUUUUGAUAUUAUAAUAUUUGUUUUUUUAUUUGUAUGCUUUCACCUAACUAAUACAACGAAGAUCAAAUUCAAUUAAUAGUCCUUUUACUUCCCUCAAAAUUAAUUAUUUUAAAUCAAACUACACUAAUAUCAACAUAAAAAUCUAAAAGCCCCUAAAAAGGAUAAAAAUCUAAAAGUAUUAAGAUACACAUAGGAAAUGAAUAUUUUUUUUUUUGGUCUAAUAGCCUAGUGGCUAGAGCUCACACAAUUAAAUGUGGAGAAGUGGGGUAUCCGGAGUUCGAACCCCGGCCCCUGCAUAAAUUAUGCAAUGUCCUUGCCAACUGAGCUAAGCUCAUGGGGACCAUAGGAAAUGAAUAUUAUAUAUAAUAAACAUAUUCUUUUUUCAUUGAAUUUUAUUAGAAAACAAAUUCAUUUUUAUGAGAAUAUUUGCACACACAAUAUGAUUCCAACUAACAAGUUUUGACAACACUACAACUUGACAAAUUCUCUUAUUUUCUAGAGAUGUGAACUCAUGAUGAAGAUGUGCUUCACCAUCUUAAAGACCGUGCUCCAUGGAAGGAAGUUUGACAACGGACGCGUAAUGUUAAUCAUCCAUAUUUUUUCAGCUUCACAACCUUUAAAACAUUUCAAACCACGUAUAAAGGACCUUUUGUAACAUGCUUGCAAUAACUAUUUAGUGGAUCUGACACUUCAUAAAUAAUCAUACUCUUGGAGACUAUCAAUGGAAAUUUUAAAAUGUCCUUUAUUCUAUGGAUAUCAUGUGUACAUAUUUAACUUAUGUUAAUAUUCACUUCUUAGAGCACCAAAUUAUUCAUCAAAUUGUUAAGUGGCCCAUCCUCAAGAUGGAUGCAUAACAAAGUCGAAUAUUGAUGGAAGUUGUGGUGCUUCAGGUGACACUAAUGCUAGUAAUUUACUACGUGAUAACAAGGGAGAUUAAAUAACUAACUAUCUCUUCUAAUGAGUGGUAGAUGAAUGAUAUUUAUCAUGAUUUGAUAUUCAUAAUCAACAACUUUAUUCAACUGGUUAUUUACAAGACGAAUUCUUAACGAAUCCUUAAUCUUCUUCAACAUAUGUAUCAUUUACAUAUACAUACAUACAUAUACAUAUAUAUAUAUAUAUAUAUAUAUAUAUAUAUAUAUAUAUAUAUGUUUAUUUUUUGACAAUUUUUUUUGUUUAAAAUAAUAUAUUAUUGACAUUUCUUUCUUACUUGUGCUUAAAAAACAUCCUUUGCUUGAAUUUCUUAACAAAAUUAAGAAGUUAUUCAAUAUUUGGUGUUACAUUUUGGCAGAUUAGAGUUCAAAUCUACCUUGAGGCUUAAUACCCCUAGAUUGAACUAUGUUACCUACUUCCUCGUUUUUUAUGUUCUUUUCAUUUUUUUGUCAUGCUACCAAUAAAGACGAGCUUCUAGAAAAACGAUCAUUUUGUUUUUUUUGUCAAAUGUUUAUUUUUGUUUUUUAAUAAUAUAAUGUAAUCAUUAUUUACUUUUUUUGUAAAAAGAAUCAUUAAUUAUGAGUGGAAAAUAAAUAGACUUUAAUAAUUGUCUUAAACAAUUUAUUUACUUUUUAAACUAAAUUGCAUUUUUGAUCCCUUAACUAUUUAGGUAGUAUCGCUUUUAAUUAAAAUUCGAUUUAUUUUGAUUCCUUAACUUCUCUCCAUUACACAUUUUGAUCAUUUCCGUUAAUUUUAAUUAAAAAAUGUUAGAUUUUCUUCAUUUUCUUCUGUAAGUUUUCUGGGAUUCUUGUUGUUUAAGAUUGACGGAGAUGAUAUGAAGAUGAAAAAUAGAAAAAAAAGAUAAAGAAAAACUAACGUUUUUGAAUUAAAACUAACGAAAAGAACUAAAAUGUGUGACAUAGAAAAGUUAAGGGACUAAAAUAAAUCAAAUUUUAAUUAAUGUACCAAAGCAAUACUACUCGAGCAACCAAAAAUGCAAUUUAACUUACUUUUUAUAAGUGAAAAAGAGAUCGUGAUGAAUGACCCCGUUUAAUCCACUCCAUUAUAUAUAGGGCAACUACAAUGCGAUAGCAACCCAAGUCAAAAAUAUCUUACGUACCAAAUGGAACUCGAAAUAUUGGUUUCUUUCUUACUUUACUCUGUAACUCUCGUGUCGUUCUUAUUCUUAGCCAAAACAAAACUAUCAAUAUCCCCAAAAACACACUCCUCCACCGCCAUUCCCAAACCUUAUCCAAUUUUCGGUUCCAUAUUUGCUUUUUCCGCCAACUUCCACCGCCGCAUACAAUGGAUAGCUGAUAUUCUCCAAACCAUCCCUUCCUCCACCUUCAUCUUCCACCGCGCCUUCGGUUCCCGUCAAGUCUUCACGGCAAACCCUGCCGUGGUGCAACA
rnacentral:lncRNA from 1 species